UACAUCGCUAACAACCACAGAAGACACAUGGCAGUUGGAAUGGAGAGGCUGGCAGCUGGCCUUUUAUUUAGCUCAAUUUCAAUGAAAACAGUGGGGAAACUUGAUUCGUAGCAUACUAGCAUUGCUGCUUUAAUCAUGAAAUUUCUGGCAGUUACCCCUGGUCGAUCUGUUUAGAAUCGGAUACACAGCAAUUAUGAUCACCCCAUUCUUCUGACGCUGUAAAUUUUUAGUUCCUUGAGAAACUCUUUUUUGGGAGUUUUCUUCGAAACCACCCUGGGAACUAUGAGCUUAUAGAGACUGCAAACAAUUGAAGUCUGUUCACUAUUACUUUUCUUUAAAAAAAAGUUGAAACUGCGUGGAGCUGUACUUGCUAUUGCUAUCGAGCCUCUGAUGAAGGUAACCUGCUACUGCCCUUAGACCCUUACCAUGCUUGGCUAUUCGCAUGCUGCAUGAUGGCCAGAGUGUGUAAAUAAUACCUUGGAUCCACUCGUUACAGAAUUAGUUGUGCCACGCAAUGCAUAACAUGUGUUUAUCAAUCCUUUUGAGACACUGCAACGUAGGCCCUGUGUGUCACUGCCUUGCUUGUUGUGUCUGCAAGCAUAAUCUGUGCCCUGUCUUGCAAGUAAAGUAAUGAUCCUGAAGACUGCAUGUGUCUGCACUUCUGAAUUAUAAUCAUCGUGAGGAGCGCUAGAUCCGGAGCUAAUGUUUCCUUCCCCUGAUAAGUUUUUUUUUCCUUUUAUUACCUGCUGAGCAACACCACCGUGAUGGUAGCAGUCAGCUAGAUUUAUUAGAGCAUUGUGGUACUCAACGAUCAAGAGGGGAGGCUGUGACUGUUCUGAGGUCGUAGUCCUGCUGGAGAAUCAAUCUCUUGCGAUCAAUUCACGGAAUUCCUUGCCAGGCCGCCUGCAGUUGAUCUCUUUGAUGCACGCGUCAGCGCCAUUACGGAGGAUGCUAGUACUGUUCCUCCAAAGUAGGAUUGAACAAUGACAUCGAACCUUUGUUGCAGUGUCUUUUUGGCUGUGCCAUUGCCCUCCUCUAUGAGGUGUUCGAAGUCGGAGCUUGCUUCCAUUAUUUUCACUUGCUUAGACUGCCCUGUUUCGGCAGAAAUAACAAGCGAUUAGUGCCCCGGUCACCACCGUGGUCACGGUUCAGAAAACGAAACGCACACACGAGCGCGCACAACAGAGCCAGAGCCGUCACCAUCGCACGCGGACACAGUUGGCUCCACCCAAAACCGUUCAUCAACUUUUAACCGUAUUCCCAUCCCCCCGACCCUCCGACUACCACCACCACGCCGCCGCCACCACCACCAGCAGCAUUCAGUAGCCAGCCAACCACCGUCCCGCGGACGGCAGGCACAGUGCGAAGCCGGCGGGCGGCGGCGGCGGCAUGGGGGCGCCUAGCAGCCGCGCGGUGGCCCUGGGCGCGGCCUUCCUGCUGCUCCUCGUCGCGCUGCCCUCCGCCUUCCUCUACCUCACCUCCUUCGCCGGCCCCGCGGCCUCCCGCGCCGCGCUCCUCAACCUCAAGCCCUUCUCCGCCAGGUGCCCGCCCUCCGUGGCGGCCCCGCCGCUCCGCGUCUUCAUGUACGACCUGCCCCCGCGCUUCCACGUCGCCAUGAUGACGGGCGCCGCCGACGCCUCCAACGCCACGGCGGGGCCGUUCCCCGCGUGGCCGCCGUCGGCGGGCGGGAUCAAGCGGCAGCACAGCGUGGAGUACUGGAUGAUGGCGUCGCUGCAGGACGGGGGAGGCGGAGGGGGAGGGGGAGGGGGAGUGGGAUCGGAGAGGAGGGAGGCGGUCAGGGUGCGGGAUCCCGACGAUGCCGAAGCAUUCUUCGUGCCCUUCUUCUCCUCGCUCAGCUUCAACGUGCACGGCCGCAACAUGACCGACCCCGACACCGAGGCCGACCGCCUCCUGCAGGUGCCGCAAUUCUCAGAUUCUUUUCCCUCCAUUGUCAUGUGAUCUAUGAUUGAUUAGCAUUUAGUUUGGCUCAGAUUGAGACAGCUCUGUAUAAGUUGUGCGUUUGGGGAAAAAAAAUCAUUGGCUAUAUAGUAGGAUGCCAGUAAGAAGACACUAGGACACACACAAAAGAAUUACAGGAAAACCAAUUAACCAUUGAACACAAUAAAACACAUCAAAAUCCCCAGAAAAAAAAUAAUAAGCACAUUGAAGAUAACACAUAGAGGAAAAAUCUGUUGGCAUUUGGACAACUCUCUCACUAGUUGGUGUUCAGUUGCCAUCAACUAUGCUACCAAUACGAGGUCUUCCCAAAUUCUGAUAGGCUGACCAUGUCCCCUUUGCUUGAUGAUAUAAUGUGGCAUCUUUAUGUCACUGCAGUGGUUUCUGUAUGGUUUUGCUCGCCCAGAUCUCCUUGCAGGUUGAGCUAGUUCUAGAUUUUGGGACUUAGUUACUGUGAUCUGGGUGCUUACACCUUGAUCACUGCUAAGAAUGUUUCCAAAGAACUGAAACCAAGUGAGUUACCUAUUUCCUGCUAAGGUUGUCGGUAUUUGCGAAUGGUUAAAUCUGUCGUGAAAAAAAUUCUUGACUGGAUAUGCUAUGAUGCUUCCUAUAUACAUCUGUUGCUCCUUGUGAACAGGGGACCUGCAGCUGACUUGAUGUGCACAAGCACAACUAAUACCAACCUCUGCAGACUUACAGCUGGCGAUCAAGUUAUCCUUUUUUUAUCAGGAUGAUAGAUGGCAGUCAGAUUUAUAGUAGUCACUGCAAUUAAACUUUCUACUGUGAUGUGCACAUGUGGCUGUGUGCAAGUACUUCUACUGUUCGAUGUUGCUGAGAAAAAGGGCACUGCACACUUCAUGCCCCUAGUGGCUUCUUUCGAGCUCUUUGGCAAUAUAAUUUGGGGUUGAGGCAAAGAAAAUCGAUUGCAAGAAGAUAAUGCUACAUUUUGUCCCCUAUUUCUUAUUUUUUCACCAAAAUUGACACCUCCCUCCCCUCCCAACCCCACCCAAACACACACACACCAAAAAAAGAAGUAAUCUGGCAGAUACAGUGCUCAACUCUUGCAAGGCACAAGGCAUGUGUGCGAAAGAAAUAAAUUGGUUUUAACUCUGGUAUGUUAGAGUUGAGUUAUGGUGGUGUUAUAAAAGGCAAGAAGGUCAUUGUUAUGAAGUGUCUUGCCUUGUGAAGUAUAUGGUUACGUCCCAGUUUAUUUUAGCAACAACAACAAAGACUUUUAGUCCCAGUUCAUUGUAACAUUAGGAAAUGUAAUUUCAUGUAAUCAAACUGUUUUAAUUGAUCUUGCUAUUACUCUCUUGUAGGUUGAACUUAUGGACAUUCUAUGGAAGUCUAAAUAUUGGCAAAGAUCUGCAGGCCGUGACCAUGUGAUUCCCAUGCAUCACCCCAACGCUUUCAGAUUCCUGCGAAAUAUGGUGAAUGCAUCUAUUCUUAUAGUUGCAGAUUUUGGGAGAUACACAAAGGAACUGGCUUCCUUGAGGAAAGAUGUUGUAGCACCAUAUGUGCAUGUUGUGGCUUCCUUCAUUGAUGAUGAUGCACCUGAUCCAUUUGAGGCUCGUCAUACACUGCUUUUCUUUCGAGGCCGUACUGUCAGGAAAGAUGUAUGGAACUGAUUUAUGAUAGUAAUAACUCCCUCUGCCCCUCCUCUAAUUUUCUAUUUUAGUUCGCUGUUUUUCCCCAUAGUGGAAUUUGUCUAGAUACAAAACAAAAUUAAGAUUAGAGAUUCAGAAAUUUGACAUUUAUGGCAUUCAUUUUGUAUUUCCUCAGGAAGGGAAGAUCCGGGCAAAACUUGCAAAUAUAUUAAAAGGAAAGGAUGGUGUGCGCUUUGAGAAUAGCUUUGCCACCGGUGACGGCAUUAAAAUAGUAAGGCGCAUUUCUCAUUUCUAUUAAGGCUUCUUGAUAAGGGAACAUGAAAUUUACAAAUCUGUUUGAUUCUAACAGUCUACAGAAAGUAUGCGGUCAUCAAAGUUUUGUCUUCACCCUGCUGGGGACACUCCUUCCUCGUGCCGCCUGUUUGAUGCCAUUGUCAGUCACUGUGUUCCUGUGAUUGUGAGCAGUCGCAUAGAGCUCCCUUUUGAAGAUGAGAUUGAUUACAGUGAAUUCUCCCUUUUCUUCUCAGUUGAAGAAGCUCUAAGACCUGAUUACUUGCUCAAUCAACUCAGGCAGAUCCCCAAAAAGAAGUGGAUGGAGAUGUGGUUGAAGCUAAAAAAUGUAUCUCGCCACUAUGAAUUCCAGCAUCCCCCCAGGGAAGGUGAUGCUGUGAAUAUGAUAUGGCGGCAGGUGAGGCACAAAAUCCCUGCAGUUAAUCUAGCUAUUCACAGGAAUAGAAGACUAAAAAUUCCAGACUGGUGGGGAUAAUAAUUGGUGACUAGUGUACAUAUUACCACAUCCACUGGUAAACCUGGUUAUUUUUGGUGUCUGAUAGAAACCAUGGUGGUCAUUCUGUGUGAACCAGGUGCUCAUCUUAAAAUCCAAGGACUGAGUCCAGAACUAUUCUCUGAUGGGAACUGACAUUAUCACCCUUUUUUUGGUACAUUUUUGUGACAGGAUAACUAUUUUUCCCCUGAUGCUACAAAAUAAUGGGAACAAAUAAACCUAUAGUGAUAUUAUUUAUAGAGAAGACUACCUGACAAAUAGGAUCUCUGUAUCUUCUUUGUACUAGCAUAUUGAAAGUUGCAAUAUAUUCUUUGUGCUGUUAGAUAUACUGUUCAUCUCAGUGUUUGCUAUUACUUUGAUCUUUGGAUCUGUUGACUUCAGUUGCGGAGGUUUCUGUAUGCUUAGAUGAGCCAGGUCGCCGACAUUGGGCUUUUAGGCUCCGAAGGUCUUGGAAGCCUGUUGUUUUCUGUGGCACGUCUGUUGUAGUUUCUUAAGGGGGUAUUUGGAUACGAGGUGCUAAACUUUAGCAGGGUCACAUCGGAUGUUCAGAUGCUAAUUAGGAGGAUUAAACACGAGCUAAUUAUAAAACUAAUUGCACAGAUAGAGUCUAAUUCGCAAGAUGAAUCUAUUAAGGCUAAUUAAUCUAUCAUUAGCAAAUGGUGACUGUAGCACCAUAUUGUCAAAUCAUGGACUAAUUAGGCUUAAUAGAUUUGUCUCGCGAAUUAGACUCCAUCUGUGCAAUUAAUUUUAUAAUUAAACUAUGUUUAAUACUCCUAAUUAAUAUCUAAACAUCCGAUGUGAUAGGUGCUAAGGUGCUAAAGUUUAACAGAGUGUAUCCAAACGGGCCCUAAAGUGUGUGUGGUGUUCGGACUCGGGUGGGGUUUGCUAAACUCGUGUAUUUGUAUCUGCCUUAAUAAAAUGACACGCAGCUCUCUUGCGCAUUUUGAGAGAAAAAAAUGUAUGCUUAGAUGCUACUGAAUUUCACCUUGCGUUGGUAAGUUGGUGUGAACUCUAUUGGAACCCUCUUUGGUUUGUCGGAUCCUGCGUUAAGCAAACCCGAUCAUGCGACAUGCAGCUCUCUUGCGCAUAUCGAGAUAAAAAAAUGUAUGCUUAGGGUGUUUGGAUCUUGGAGCUAAAGUUUAGUCUGUGUCACAUUGAAUAUUCGGAAGCUAACUAGGAGGACUAUAUAUGAGUUAAUUAUAAUACUAAUUACACAGAUGGAGGUUAAACGGCGAGACGAACCUAUUAAGUCUAAUUAAUCCAUCAUUAGCAAAUGGUUACUAUAGCAGCACAUUAUCAAAUCAUAGACUAAUUAGGCUUAAUAGGUUUGUCUCGCUGUUUAGCCUCCAUCUGUGCAAUGUGUUUUGUAAAUAGUCUAUGUUUAAUACUCCUAAUCAGUUCUAAACAUUCGAUGUGACAGAGACUGAAGUUUAGCCCUAGGGAUCAAACACCCCCUUAUUAGAUGCUGCUGAAUUUCACCUUGCGUUGGUAAGUUGGUGUGAACUCUAUUGGAACCUUCUUGGUUUGUCGGAUCCUGCAUUAAGCAAACCCGAUCAUGCAUCAGAUGUGAAUCUGAGAGCCAGACUGUAAUGUCAGAGGAGUGGCUGUGAGAGGGAGGGAGAGGAGAGAGAAGACCGGCUUCACUGAUGAAAGGAACGUUUCUUCCGAGGCGCUCUGCUGCUCUGAAAUCAAUCAUUGUUCGCCUGUUUUUUAUAUCAUUGACUUGGUAGCACAUGCCUGCUGGGAAGCAUAUAAUUUUGUGUUCAAGUUGCAAUUUUUCAAGGACCCUUUUCCAAGCUAAUCUGCAGUUGGGCACUUGAUUAAACACAAGAGGCAUCGGGUACCUUGCAUAUGGGGAUGCAGGUGCAGACACGUCAUCACACAAGAGCUUCGUUCGUUUAUGCUAGUUCUUUAUUUGUCCUACAAGCUCAGUGUCUUUUGCUUUUGGAUUAGUAAACGAUAAUUAGGAUGCAAAAGCACUAGUAGUUGAGAACCAUGACAUGUAUGAAUCGUCUGCUUAAACUUUUGACUCGCGGCGCCAAGUACUGUACUAAGAUCUCUAUAAAGCUGGCUCCAGAAUGAGAGCGCUGACCAUUGGCUAACAGGUUGACCGUCAGGAUCAGGAGCAGCAGCAAACAGUAGCAGACCCGUUGACACGACCACGACGAGACCUGCUGCUGCUGCGAAUGUGAACAACCACAACAAGAGCAGGGGUGCUGGUGUGCAUGCACACUUGCACACAUGACAUUAGCAUGACACCACCCGGCAUUAGUGGUGAUGCAAUCACUGGAGGGAGGGAAAAGGAGACAAGCAGGCGGCGACAGCAGAGCAAGCAUUCUUUUUGUCAAUGCAUGCUUCCUUGCCCAUCCCCCCAUGAUCCUUCCGGAGGACAAGCGAACAGCACGGGCACGAAGCCAUGUGCCUGAGAAAACUUUGGUUUACUGCAAUGAAACAACUAGAGAAUAAUGAUAUUAGUUGGCUGGGUUAGGAGGCUAGGAUAUCGUCCUGCAAGCUGCUUCACGUACCGGAUGAACAUGUUCCAUUUAAGCGAGACAUUUCCUCCCAAAAAUGGCCAAGCAAGAGCACGAUGGUGGCCGUCGAUCGGGCCACAUUGUCGAAAGCAACGGCACUGUUGGGUGCUCAAGGUGUCUGGUAUUUCCUCGUAUUUUUGUUUGGUUUGGAUAAUGGAAUUGAUUGAUCCAGCACCAUCUGAUCCUGCACAUAGUUAGCUUAAUAACGAAGAAUGCGUUUGUGGCACCAAGAUUUAUGAGCACUUUUUUUUUGAAAACUCAUGAAAAAAAACUUUAUAAUUUGACAAUUCCAUUGUAGAUGAGGUGAUUCCUCGAAUCAAAGAACUUGUAUGGUACCACGACAAUCAGUCAUUAGGGGUUUGGCAUCAGCCACCAGGCAAGGGAAAAGCAACAAUCAUAAGAUGGACACGUUUUUUCUUUCCAAAGACCAGAUAAAACACGUAAUUUAGCUUACUUGCAAUUAAACGGCUCCAAUUGGUAGCCUGUCUUCUUUGGUUUGCCCUAACUACUGUACGAACGUACCCUGAGUGGAGUAUCAGAUGCUAGCAUGCUGCUGCUGCAUCUUUUGCUGCUACAGAGAGAGACUGGCCCAUCUGUAAGCAGUGUGGCCGCUCUGUUGCGGUGGAUGAGAAUGAGAUGCUGCCAUCGGGCAUUCAGAGGCGUAUCCCAUCCGUACGAUCAAAAUCGAGCGGUAUCAGCCAGCGUAAGCAGCGAGUGAGGGAGAGCAUUAAGGCAGCAAGCAAACCACCCGGCGACCGAUUCAAAACCGCCCAACUCAGCACAGCGGGCGGAUUAGUAGUCGACUCCAUUUCGCUUCCCAUCCAUUCCCCUUCGCCCCGGCUUCCCCCAUCCCAUCCCCUUCCCCUCCCCAGUUGGAAGAGCCGGCUCUCGCUCCCUCCCGAUCCAGCCAGCAGGCAGCCGGGGAUGGCGGCGGCGCCGCCGGACGGGCAGGAGAAGGUGAUCGCGGCGGCGCAGCACAUCGUCAAGUCUCUCGCCAGCUCCAAGAACGCCGCAGACGACAUGAUCCGCAUCCUCUCGGGCUUCGACAACCGCCUCUCCCUCAUGUCCGACCUCUUCCCCCCGCCCCCUGGCGCAGCCGCAGCCGCCGCCGCCGAUUCCAUCCUCGAGGAGGACGAGGGGACCUCCCAGGGGGACGGGCACGAGGAGGACGAGCCCGACCCCGACGACGACGCCGCGGCGCGGGCCGAGGAGGAGUGGGACGCCGCGGCCGAGGUGAUCGAGCGCUGGGAGUCCCCGGACGCCGGAGACAGGAUGGUGUUCGGCUCGCGGGAGGAUGCCGAGGAGUACCUCGCCGCGGCCGCCUGCCUCGCGGGCGCGCCCGGCCCGCGCGCCGAGGCCGCGCUGCAGGCCGCGAUGGCGCGGCUCGAGGACGAGUUCCGCCACCUGCUCAUCCGCGGGGGUUCGCCGCUCGCCGCCGAGGACCUGCAGGCGUCCCUCCUCCGCCGGCUCUCGCUCACGGUACCCUCCUUCAACUCCUCCGCCGUAGACCUAGAUUGCCCCUCCUUCGCCAUCCACGCCGGCGAGGGCGGAGACGAGUCUGGCGGCAGGAGCUCGGUCUCCGAUGACGAGAUCUCGCCCUACCUCAUCGCUCCGGACACCGUCGGCGCCCUCAGGGACAUCGCGGACGUCAUGCUGCGCGCGGGCUACGCGCCCGAGCUGUGCCAGGUCUACGGGGAGGUGCGCCGGGACACGCUCAUGGAGUGCCUCGCCGUGCUUGGGGUCGACAAGAUGAGCCUGGAAGAGGUGCAGCGGGUGGAGUGGGGCAUGCUUGACGGCAAGAUGAAGAAAUGGAUCCAGGCGCUCAAGGUCGUCAUCCGAGGCCUUCUUGCUGAGGAGCGCCGCAUCUGCAACCAGAUCCUUGCGGCCGACCCAAACGCUGAGGAGGAGUGCUUCACUGAGGCGGCCAAGGGGUGCGUCCUGCAGCUGCUCAACUUUGGUGAUGCUAUUGCAAUUGGGAAGAGAUCAUCAGAGAAGCUAUUCCGCAUCCUUGGAAUGUAUGAAGCGUUAGCUGAGGUGCUACCAGAGCUCGAGGGUUUGUUCUCGGGUGAGGCCAAGGAUUUCAUCAAGGAAGAGGCUGUGGGGAUACUUGUACGGCUUGGAGAUGCAGUGCGUGGUACGAUUGCUGAGUUUGCCAGUGCCAUACAGGGAGAGACUUCUCGGAGACCGCUGCCCGGUGGGGAGAUCCACCCCCUCACACGUUAUGUUAUGAACUAUGUACGGCUUCUUGCAGAUUACAAUGCCUCGCUGAAUCAACUUCUUGAGUAUUGGGACACUGAGCUGAAUGGGGGCGAUAAUCCAAACAUGACUCCGUUGGGGCAUUGCGUGCUCAUGCUGAUCACACACCUACAGAGCAAGAUUGAUGAGAAAUCGAGGCUGUAUGAGGAUGAGGCACUGCAGAACAUAUUUUUGAUGAACAAUCUGCUGUACAUUGUGCAGAAGGUGAAGGAUUCAGAGUUGAAGACAUUGCUUGGUGAUAACUGGAUUCGCAAACGCCGUGGUCAGAUAAGGCAAUACUCUACAGGGUAUCUCCGGUCAUCGUGGGCUAAGGUGUUAGCUUGCCUGAGAGAUGAUGGGUUGCCACAGACAAUGGGUUCGUCAAGUGCACUCAAGGCUGCACUGAAGGAUAGAUUCAAGAACUUCAACUUGGCUUUCGAGGAUUUGUACAGGACACAGACAUCAUGGAGGGUCGUAGAUCCUCAGUUAAGGGAAGAAUUGAAGAUUUCCAUCUCGGAGAAGGUUCUUCCCGCAUACCGUUCGUUUGUUGGGAGAUUUCGGGGCCAACUAGAGGGAGGGAGGGGUUCUGCAAGGUAUAUAAAGUACAACCCUGAGGAUUUGGAGAACCAGGUCUCAGAUUUCUUUGAAGGGAAAAAGCCAAAUGCUUGAUGGUCAAGGUGAGUGCUAAAUCCCAGACUGUGUUUCCAUAUAGAAGUCAUAUACAUUAUUAGAAGGCUAUUUAGCCUGGCCCUUUUUUAUGUUCGCUUUGUUGGAUCUGUAAGAGCAAGUAUGAAAACCCCUAACUGUUUAUAUUUUACAGGAAUUUUAUCUUUAGAUUACCUUGUAGAUCAUGAAAUUGCAGGAAACAGUCAUAAAUUUUCGAUAGUUUUCUAAUUUAGUAAGCAAUAAUUGUUGUAGAUUCUUCAUAGUUUCUAGUUUUCGUACUUAUUGUCCUGAGGGAUUCUGAUACCUCAGUUGACAAAAAUUUGCUAGCUCUUAUCUGCAAGUUUGAAUGAUCCAAAGAAUUAUCCUAGAGAACUGAAUGCUAAAUCUCAUAAUAUGAAUUCUCUCCAGCUGUUUUUCCCAGCUGCCUUACUUCCAGAAGGGCGUAUCCCCGUAUGUUUCUUGUAAUCCCUGCAGUUGAGAACAUCAUGUUAAUGAAAACCACAAUUUAUCCUCUAAGAUGCAUUUUUGCAUUUCAAUGGCCUGAGAACAUCAUGUUUACUGAGGACCACAGUUUAGCCAGAGCUCUGCACAGUGCCUUUAGAACAUCAUUUCAGGUUUAUUUUCCUUUCAUCUGCUUCUUUUAAGAGAAUACUGGCAUGGCAUAUUGUCAUUCAUAGAUGGAUUAUGGUCACGAUAAUAAAAUUGCAAACUUAAUGAAAGGGGUGAUUUUUUCCACAAUGUUAUCAUUUAACGUUAGUAAUUCUGUAGUCAGAGAAUCUUCUGUGAAUCUGGCCAAGAAGCUAAUCUUCUGAUCCUUUCUAUGUUCAGGGAUGGUCAUAUCAAUGGUGCAAUCUCCUUUCUAUGUUCAGGGAUGUCUAUAUCAAUGGUGCAACCUCCAAGUUCCAUGCAGAUUUUGAUGAUGCUAGUUCCAAACCCCGUCCAAAUUUUAUUGGCACUACUGUACAGGGAACUUGACCUUCCAAACAUCUUUUGAAGGUCUGAAGAUGGAAGCAUAAACUUUUCCUGACUGACAGAAAUGGUGUGAACUGCAAAGCAACCAAAAUUGAAUGAUUUAGCUUGUCAUCCUUGAUCCUGCCAAGGUGAGUGAUGACAUUAUUGAGGCUUGCACAUGGAAUUAUGACAACUGAAUCUGUCAUGAGCUGUAUAAUUCCAAUUCUUACAUUUUGCCCUUCUUUUGUUGAUUGUAACAUCUCGUGACUAUUGUUUGACUUCAAAGAAUGUUGGUGCUUGGCAUUUUUAUGUACAAUUAUACUAGCAGUUAUGUCCACAUUUAACUUGUUGCAACCAUUCUUAUGUUCAGCAGUGUCUGUUGCAGCCUUUUGUUAUAUUCAUUUGUUCGUGAUAUACAAAAAGUAUAGUUACCUGUCAGGCAACUAAUGGUGCUAACAUGCUAUUGAUUGCAUUGUCUUGUCAACCUCUGAUCUCAAAGCAGCAACUUCAUGAUGACUUAUGAUGUUCUUAAUCUUGUCAGUUCAUAGGUGUUCUCGCUUAGUUCUGUUUGUUAUUGUGCAUUUGCUAUCUGAUUGAUGACUUGUGACCUUUACUUUAAUAGCCUACUUCCAUACUUUGAUAUGUGCCUUCUGAAUCAUUUUUUUUCCUAUAGAUGCCUGAGGUUGCCUAUUGUGGUCGUAUGGACCACUGUUCAUAUGCACAAAAUCUUUGAUGAGUAAAUAUCCGACAAAUGAAGUCUCAUGUGUCUAUUCAUUACUUCAUGUAUUGCCUAUUGUAUAUAGAUACAUGGUAGAUAUCUAUAUACAUACAUGGAAACUACAAAUACUGAAAUACUAGAAAAAACGUUUUGGAAAAACAAGAAUUGAUAUGAAAAUUUUGAACAAAAGGAGAAGAAGAUGUUAUUCCUAAUUCAAACUGUUGAGAGUGAUUAGUGUGAAUUUUGACAAAUAAUAAACCACAAACUCUAUAAAAUCUAGAAAACCUUUUCAGUUUACAUAGUAAAUUGAUACGAAAAUUUCUGGAAAAACAAGAAGAUGUGCUUCCUGAGUUCAAACUGUUGAGAGUACUUAAUGAAAAUUCUGAAAAAAAAAUAUAAAUCAAAGGACAAAGGAACUAAUAAACAUGGCAGGCAAACUGUAGAUAAGCUGUAAUCUAGUACCUAGUCCCAGGAACAGGAUAUAUAGUAAUAUGGAAAUAAGUGAAGCUAUCAUGGCUAAAUUCCAGGUAUAGGACUUGUUCAACUUAAACAUGAUCAGAGGCUCGAAGCAUUAGUGUUCCACACAUGGAAGCAUUAUGAUAAUUGAUAAGCUAUCUAUCUACAUAGAAGUGAUAAGGUGAGCUCACUAAACACUUAUGAACACUAGAAAUGGGAAGGAAAAAAUAAUCAAGUUCUACAGAGAAUGAAUCAAUAGAGAGCAUGGCAAAAAGUAAUUCCUGAUUUGACUAAACUUUUCAAACCCUGCUGUUUUGUGGUAGAGGGAUAACACCAUUGAAGAAGUCCCCAAAGUAGCCAGGUGGCUCAUACACCAACUUGGCGAUGAUAUCUCUGAGGGUGAUCAACCCGUCCAGGUUCCCUUCCUCGUUGAUCACAUAGAUCCUCUGCCUCUUCUCUGCGUCCAGCUUCAUUAUUAUGUCCUUGACACUGUCCCCUCUACUGCACGUUAUGAUGCUCAUUUGCCUUUCACCGGAGCUCUGCCUUGCAUUUGCAAUGAAUUCUUUCGCUGUUAGCGUCCUGCAGAUGGUAAAUUGUUAAGUAUCCAGCCCUUCUGUGUUGAAUAUUAUGGUCGAUUUGAACAUAGUCUCUGGAUCCUCUAUGGUUGAACAAUGUUUCUGAAAAGUGAUGAUGUUGCCAUGUAAACCAUCAAUAUCUGACCUGUAGUCUCGGUUCUCCGAUGCCGUAAGGAGAUGCUUGACAUCCUUGAUCAUUAUGCUGCCUACCGCCCUGCCGCUAUCAUCCACAACCGGUAUGCCGCCAACCCCUUUUCUCCUCAUCAGCCGGAAGGCCUUGAGCGCCGGCUCGUCCUCGCGAACCUGCCAAUUUCACCUCCAGGAUCAUCACCGGGAAGGCGAAAAGCGCCUUUUCGCAACCACCGGAAAACAGAGUAUCUGAAUCAGAAAUGUGUACCUUGACGAUCUUGCUGAGCCUCAUGAUGGGCAGGCCGAUCUCGGAGAGCGUCUUGGUGCCCCACUCCUCGAACCAGUGGAGUCCGACGCACUCGGAGAGCAUGUGCACGACGGCGCCCUGCGUGAUGACGUUGCUGAUGGUGCCUUCGCCGAUGUCCACCACCGGCAGGCUCUUCAUCCGGUACUUGGACAGCAGCAGCAGCAUCGUCAGGAACGUGUCGGAGCUCUGCAGCGCCAGAAACGGCGCCCACCGGAACGACCCGGAGAUGUCCUUCACCUGCCACGUCGAUCAAGCCAUCAGCGUGGAUGUGGAGGAGAUCGAUGGCCAUUGAUCUCACUCGCAAGGUUGCGAAAAAAACACCUUUGUUUUGUUGAACAGGUCUGAAGACGGCAGGGCUCCGAAGACUUCUGCGAUCGCUCCUUCAGACUCCGCCGUUUUGGGCUCCCGCACGUUCGCGGCCGCGGCGGCGGCGCCCUCCAGGGUGACGGUGCCGAGCUUCGCCGCCAGCUCGUCGGCGCCGACGUCGGCCUUCGCCGCGGCUUCGGACUGGUGGAGGAGCCAGACGGCGAUGCCGGCGAACUCGACGAUGCCGAUGUAGCGGUCGAUCCAGCUGGCGUCCUCGGGCGCGUCGACGUUCCUGACGGGGGCGCUGAUGAUCCUGUUCCGGGACAGGAUGUCGACGGCCUCGGCGAGCGUGGCGUCGGAGGGGAUCUCCACCAGCUGCGCGCCGUCGAAGGUGUGCGGGAAGGAGGCGACGUUGAUGCUGUCGAAGCAGCUGUUGAGCUUGUCGCCGUGGCUGAUGUGCUGCUGCUCCACGUCCAGGCUGCCCCAGAUGUCCUCCACGCGCAUCCCGAUCUCCGCCUCGGGGCUCCACGACCGUGCGCUCGCGAGCGGGCUCGCCUGCACCGCCGCCGCCUCCGGCCGCGUCCGCACCGCCUGCAUGGCCCCGUGCUAGCUGCUGCUGCUGCGUUUUGCCCCUUCCCUGGCUUCUUCUACCUCGCCACGGUUUGUUUCUUCUUGGUUUUCUUCUUUCCUCAUGCGCCGGCCAAUCUGUGGUGUGCUCAUCCAGUCACCCUAUUUUGGUCCAUGGUUUGCAGCCGAGAACUGAGGGGCGCGCGGAUCUCACUCGGAUGUGUUGCUCGUGACCAUCGGCUUCGCGGGGUCGCAGGAAGCCGGCAGGUGCUUUGCAACCCGGCAUGUGUGGAUACGGCUGCGACUCUUCUGCGUACGUGCUGCAUGCGGAUGCUGAGACGCAGACAUAUGGGCUGGGGAGGACCAUGAGACUACCUGGGCCUUUUUACUUUUUCCAAGAAAUAACCGAGCCCGUUCCAUUCAAUGGGCUCAGUUCUGGUGCUUCGGCCGCCGUGCUGGGCCGCGAGAUAUUUUCGUACCCAACCCCUUUUACAAGUCAUCCCUGCGGGAUCCGUCCCGUUCUCUAACCCUCUGACAUGUGAGUCCCGCAAGACCUCGGCCCACACGCCAGCGUCCGGCUGCGGUCGUGUUGAUCCCCAGCUCCUCCUCUCCUCCCCCCGAAGGGCUACGACUAGUACACGCCCACGUCCCCACCGCCCACCGCAGCUCCGGCCCUCCCCAAAUCUCAGCGAGAAAUAGCGAGAGAAACAGAGAGGCGAGCCUAAAACCCUAACCCCCCGAAUCGGAUCCCGCCGCCGGAGAGCGGAACCCGCCGCCGCCGCCAUGGAGCUGGGAGCGUUGAGCGACAGGGAGCGGAUGUUGUUCUUCGAGGCCGCCUGCAGGAACGCCGAGGCCGCGUACGCCCAGAACCCCCUCGACGCCGACGUACGAUGCAUCUCGAACACUCCUCCUCCCGUUACCUUUUUCCGCCGGUUGGCUCGAGCUCCGCGCGAUCUGAUCUGAUUUUAACCUGGUGGUGUGUUCGUUCCUCUCGCGCAGAACCUGACGCGAUGGGGAGGCGCGCUGCUGGAACUGUCGCAGGUGAAAGCCGGGCCCGAGAGCCUCAAGUGCCUUGAAGGUAUUCCUCCGUCUGAUUAGACGAUUCCGCUGGUCAUAGAUUGGGCGAUUCGGAUGAGCCCCUUUUUGUGAAUUUUGUUUUAUGUUAGCGGCCCUGUCUAAUGAGUUUAGGAUCUCAAUGUGCGCUUUACGAAUCCAUAAAUCCGCGGUUCAAUCCCUGCAUCAUUUGUUAGGCCCUUGAACUGUAUGCUGGCAGGGUUGACCCCCUACGAAUGAUUGCUGCGUGACCCAUUGCGUUGUGGUUCCAGGCGUUCAGGAAAUCUGUGACUCAAUUCGUGCUACCUUGCUCGGAAAACUGCUGCUGUACUGGUGGUGGUUGGACUAACAGACUGGCUGCUAGAGUGAUUUUUGGUCCCCUCUUUUUUAUGUCUCACUAGUUCAUCUUAUGGAUGGGUAUCAAGUGCUCUAAGCUUUGAGUAUUCACUGGAAAAUUUCUAAUAGUAUAUGGAGAGCUGAUACUCGAUAAUAAUUUGUAUUUGGCACAUUGAGUCAUUACUGAUGAAAUCCAGUGGCACUUUUGAAUCCGUAAACAGUUAUGAACCACUUCAGGUGGUUAUUGCUUAUGUAUCCAUCAGGGGACUGGCUGCUUGCUUCCAGUUUUCUUCUGGUUGCUUGUUUGGUAUAGUGAAGCUUACAGGGGCAUUAUUUAUACCAACUACGUCUUAAGUAUAUGACGUUUAGGGCAAGGUAUUAGUUGAAAAAUGAACUAAUUUGCAUGUCCUAGUCUUUAUUAUGGUUGCUCACUUCAAGUUUUCUGUUGAUUGCUUGCUUUUAUUCAUAUUUACAUGCAAGGUACCGAUUUUCAUAUUUAUGAUGCAUUUUGCAUUGUUAAAUGAUAGCAGUAUUGCUAGAUUUUACUAUUUGAGAGUUCAUGAUAGGAUUAUGUUGUGUGCAUGACUGAUUUGACCUUGUGCAUGCGUGUAGGUUUCUGUCUUUUAAUAGAUGUUACUGAACAGGGUUCUAAAUGUUUUACUAAUUCAAAUUGAAUCUUGUUACAGAUGCGGAAUCCAAGCUGGAGGAGGCACUGAAAGUUGAUCCCAUCAAGGCUGAUGCACUCUGGUGCUUGGGAAAUGCUCAGACCUCUCAUGGAUUCUUCAGUGCAGAUAACGAGAAGGCAAAUGAGUACUUUGUAAAGGCAACCGAGUGUUUCCAGAAGGCUGUUGAUGUGGUAUGUGUACGCUGCUAGUUUGUGGGCUUCAUUUAUACAGAUUUCCAUCAUUCCUUUAUGUAACCUUCUGUAUGUGGCCCCACCGCCACAUGAAGUCAGAUUGACAUGGAAAGCAUCUGGAAGAAUGUUCAUGGAAGAACUAAUUUUAUGUUUUACCAUCCAAACUGAUGUUUCUGCUGUUGUCUCUUGUUUGCUUUGGUUUAACUGGAAAUUAACGUGCACUCCUGUUUGUAGGAACCUGCAAAUGAGCUAUACAGAAAGUCUUUGGACUUGUCAUCUAAGGUGUGUUCUGCUCUCUCCUUUUUGUUCUGCAGGACAUAUAUGCUGUUAAGCAUGCAUCCGUGCAACUGUUACUGGAGUCUAAACUAAGAAGAUAAUCUUACUGGAUUUUAGUUUUGUGUCAGAAAUCACGUUUCUUUUCCUUUUAACUUAUUACAUUCAACUGUUGUGCUUGUUACAACUUGCAGUGAUAAUAACAGAAUGUUGAGAACUUCAAUUAUGAUGUUUCAUUUUAGCCGCAUAUUUGUAUCAUGCUUGUACGAGUGAUAAUCACUUGUAUAAGAUUGUUAUUGUAACAUUUGCUUUCAAUUAUCAGGCACCUGAACUGCAUUUGGAGAUUCAGAGGCAAAUGGCAUCUCAGGCGGCAUCACAAGCAUCCUCAGCCUCAAAUCCAAGGGUAAAUCUAUCUUGCUCUGAAGGACAACUUAAAUGCUUGUUUGCUUGAGAACAGUUCCAUACAUCAUUUUUUGUAUAUUGGACUUGUAUGAUCUUAUGACUAGACUUUUGUUAAUAAGCCUUCAGAUUUGUUAAUUUGAUAAUGCAAACUAUUGACUUUGUUGCUCUUUUAGAUUUGGCAAAAGUACCUGUGUAGCACAACCUGAUUUGCAAACAUACUACUCUUUCAGCUUAGAUUGCUCACCCUGCUGGCUCAUUCUAUUGCAUGCAUUGAUCAUAAGAAUCUAAGAUCCCACCCUUUGGAUACUAGCCAACUUGCAGCAUGAACAAUGAAAAAGAGAAAUUGUGGGGGUUGAUUCGGUAGCCUUUUCCUAAUUGAUACUAAAAUUCUUCUGUUUUACUUUUCUCAUUAGUCAUUACAAGCUAUGUUAUAUUUCGACUAGCAUUUCUGCUGUGUGGUUAUUAGAAAUAAAAUGCUGUUCCCUCCUUUUUUAGUUACACACUUACGCUUCACUAAUCCAGUGUAUGGUAUUCUAGUUCUUACAUGAGUGUGUUCAAUUAAGAACUAAACAAUGUUGAUUUUCUUUCCAAAUGUUUUGAUUUCAUAUGCCAUUCUUCAAUAUGAUUGUAUAUGCCAGUCAAUAUACAGUGUGAGCACAAUAGAAGAGGGUGGAUAGAUUCGGGCAGUGGAACCAACAUAUUAGGCCAGUCACUGAGAUUUUGCCUCUUGUCUCCACACUGGAGGGAUUGCAGUGGGAUUCAGAUGCUGCUUUUAACUGAGCCAUUUGGGGAACUCAAUUUCCUAUCCAUUGAGCCCCUGUUCUGAGUUCUUGAUUCCAUGAAUCUUUCUGAUAAACAAUUCGUCGUAACUCAUAAAAAUUAUAAAUCAUCUAGACUUUUUGUAGUGUUGUGGUUUCACACUUGACUUACCCUGUCUAAGCUGACAAUAUUGUGUUUUCAGCAAUCAAGGAAGAAGAAGAAGGAUACUGACUUCUGGUACGAUGUGUGUGGAUGGGUGAUCCUUGGUGUCGGCAUUUUUGCUUGGGUUGGGAUGGCCAGAUCAAACAUCCCCCCUCCACCACCGCCCCCAGCCAGGUGAAGGUGAACUGGAUGCAUCGCAGACAACCUUGCACAUGGCAUGCCUAUGUUAAGUGCCUCGGACAUGAAUCUUGCUAGGAGUUAGUUUGUGUAUGGAGAGCCGAGGGGAUGGUGUUUCCAUGUUACGGUUUGGUCAAAUUUUCAUGCCAGUUUUCCUUUCUACCCUUGAUGAGGUUUCCUCUUUAUCAUCGACAUACGGUGCUGGAUAAUUUUGUACUUGCAGAGGCAAAAACCAUUACAUGCUGCGAUAUUUGCUUUGUUCACUUUGAUACACUGGAUGUUAUCAAAAGGUACCACACAUCACGCGGUAUCCUAUUUUAGCAAUGCAUAAAUAAUUCUAUGUAUGUUUUUUUAGCGUUCGACAAUUCAAGCUGCGUGUAAAAGAUGAUCGAAUCUAGAAAGGCUGCGCGAAUGCUGUAAGCACAAACACUGAUAAAAGCUAAUCGAAUCCAGCUGUAGCAUAAACACUGAUAAAAGAUAAAACGAAUCCUUAUGUAGCACAGACACUGAUAAAAGAUAAUGGAAUCCAGAAAGGCUGCUGGAAUUCUGUAGCACAAACACUAUCCAUCCUUCAAUUAUUGGGCUCCAGGUGAAGGUUAUUUGAUUGCCUACAAAGUACUAAUUCGUAAUACUUCCAUAGAACUUUUUGUUGAGUUCUACGAAGGUGGUCUAUUUUUGUUAGGUACAUGCAUUAAGUUGAAUGAGACUCGGAUAUUAACUGCCGCCCAGCACGAUCAAAUACGUGUGUCCGGCAUGGCAAGUUGGGAAUCUUUUGGCUGCUGGCCUGCCGCCUGCGUGAGGCGUGACCAAGAGGGCCCUUACGAAAAGCUUGCAACUUUACGAAGCUGUAUUAGCACCCAAUUGAUGCUUGCUCCUCUCCCAAUCUUCCCUCGUUUCUCUCCACUCCUAGCACACCAAACACACGAAACAAUGGAGGCGGUGAGCGCUUCGCAUGGCGCGUUGGGCCCCCUACUGGGGAAGCUCACCUCCCUGCUCGCCGACGAGUGUGCUCGCCUCAAGGGCGUCCGCCGCGAGAUCCGGUCACUCCGAUCCGAGCUCAUCAGCAUGCAAGCCGCCGUCCAGAAGUACACCAACCUGCAAGAUCCUGACGUGGGGCGGAUCCAGAACGGGGCUGCGCCCGGGCUGAGCUGUUGAAUCAUAUCUAAAACAGUCUAAUUUUAUCUCCUAAGCCUCAUUUUGUUAGGCUAAACAGCACAUUUAUUAAAGGGACUCCAUGGUCUCGCCCGGGCUGCAGCCCGGGCAGCCCGGGCCCUAGAUCCGCCGACUGAUGUCCAAGUGAAGGCAUGGGUAUCACUGGUGAGGGAGCUGGCCUAUGACACCGAGGAUGUCAUCGACAAGUUCGUCUACCAUCUUGGCAACGGCAGCCCACCAUGACCAUGGUGGUUUCAAGGAGUUCUUCCGCAAGACCGCUCGCCGGCUCAAGACUCUCGGGUCUCGCCGCGGCAUCGCCAACCAAAUUGACGACCUAAAGGCUCGUGUCAAGGAGGUGAAAGAACUCAAGAGCAGUUACAAGCUGGAUGACGUUGCUUGUAGCAGCACCUCUGAGCAUCCCGCAAAGGAUCCCCGGUUGUCUGCUCUUUUUGUGGAGGAGGCACACCUUGUGGGCAUUGAUGGUCCAAGAGAUGAUCUUGCCCAUUGGAUGGUGGAAGAAGAAAGUAGUUCGACAAAGCAUCGCAAGGUGCUGUCUAUUGUCGGGUUCGGAGGAUUGGGAAAGACAACGUUGGCGAGGGAGGUCUAUCGCAAGAUCCAAGGGCAUUUUCAUUGUUGGGCUUUCAUUUCAGUCUCUCAAAAGCCGAAUGUGAAGAAAAUUAUGAAGGAUUUGAUCUCCCAGGUACCUUGCAAGGAAGAAGAUUUUACAAAAGAUAUCGACACUUGGGAUGAAAAGAAAUUUAUCGAGAAGCUAAGAGAACUACUACAAGAUAAGAGGUAAUUUCAAUUACAAGUCGUUGAGAGCACUUUUUCUUAAAAGAGAACUUCAUAAUUUUCUUCACAUUCGGCAACAUCUGCAAUAAGUAUAUGGUACAUUUUAAUUCACUAGAUGAGUACUUUUAGCUUAUAUGACAUUAUACUAUCAGGUUUGUUUAUUGCUUUCUUGAUGAAUUUUCUUUAUUAACAUCCUAUUGAAGGUCGUAGUGUUAUUUUUAUGUAUUCUAGUCAAAUGAUGUUGAUGUCAUAUGUUUCCUACUUGAACUCUUUUUCUUAAUUGGUUAACAAUAUUUCCUUUAUAUCUAUUAGGUACCUCAUCGUUAUUGAUGAUAUAUGGUCUGCAUCAACAUGGGACACUAUUAAAUAUGCUUUUCCAGAAAAUAAUCUUUCUAGCAGAAUCAUAGCCACUACAAGAAUUGUUGAUGUAGCAAAAUCAUGUUGUCCGCAUGGUAAUGACCGCAUCUACGAAAUGGAAGCCCUAAGUGAUCUUCACUCCAAAAGGUUGUUUUUCAAAAGAAUAUUUGGUUCUGAGGACAGUUGCCCUGAUGUGCUUAAACAAGUUUCAGAUAAAAUAUUGAAGAAAUGUGGAGGCCUACCAUUGGCAAUUAUCAGUAUAUCCAGUCUACUGGCAAACCGACCGGCAGUCAAAGACGAGUGGGAGAGGGUCGCAAGGUCUAUUGGUUCUGCAUUGGACAAAAACCAAAGCUUAGAGGGAAUGAAUAGCAUACUACUAUCCCUUAGCUACAAUGCUCUUCCACCUAAUCUGAAGACCUGUUUGUUAUAUUUAAGUAUAUUUCCGGAGGAUUAUGUCAUUGACAGAGAGAUUUUAGUGAGGCGAUGGAUAGCAGAAGGCUUUGUCUCUGAAGAGCGUGGACAAAGCAAACAACAGGUUGCCGAGAACCACUUCUAUGAGCUAAUCAACAAAAGCAUGGUCCAACCAGUGCUUGUCAAGUCCACGACAUGAUGCUUGAGCUCAUUAUUUCGAAAUCGGUUGAAGAUAACUUCAUCGCUUUAGCGGGUCACGGCCAGACUGAUCUGGCAAAUCGCCGUGGUCUUAUUCGGCGACUGUCGGUUCAUUAUAUUGACCAAGAGCUUGCAUCUGUAUUGGUAAAUGAAGAUUUAAGUCAUGUUCGAUCUCUAACAGUGACACAGCAUCAGCUUGCGUCAAACACUUGCCUAGUCUUGCUGAGUUUGAAGCUUUGCGUGUGCUUGAUUUUCAAGGAUGUCAAAGUCUGCAAGAAUAUGAUAUGAAUGGUAUAGAUAAGCUCUUCCAGCUAAAGUACUUGAGCCUUAGGGGCACUGACAUUUCGAAGCUACCAUCAGGAAUUUCGAGGCUAUAUGGUCUUGAGACGCUAGAUAUUAGCGACACACAUAUCGAAGAGUUGCCAUCAGAGAUUGUUCAGCUCAUUAAGCUACAGCAUCUACUUGCAUGCAAUGGGCCUGGACUAAAGGUAUAAAGAAGAUACCAAAUGGGAUUAGAAAUAUGAGGAACUUACGGGUGAUCUCAGGCUUUAAUGUUAUCAAGAGUUCAUUAAGUGCAGUGGAGGAGCUAGGAAAUCUGACAGCUUUACAAGAACUCCAUCUACAGAUGGACGGCCAAGGAUCUCAGGAAUACAAGAGGCAUGAAGACAUGUUACUUUCCUCUCUAUGCAAGCUUGGCAGAUGCAAACUCCAGUCUUUAUGGAUACGGUCACUCCGGUUCUUAGAUCCUUGGUCCCCUCUGCCAUCUUCUCUCCAAAGAUUUCGGAUGACCACUAACUAUUUUUUUCGAAGGAUGCCAAAGUGGAUGGCACCACAACUCACCGCUCUUGCAUACCUAGACAUUAAAUUACAUGACGCAACGGAGGAGGAUCUGCGCAUACUUGGAGAGAUGCGUGCCUUACUUUCUCCGGAGUUAACAUUCAAGGGUGUCCAAAAAGAAAGGCUUAUUGUCAGAAGCCAUGUAUUCCCAUGUUUGAAGGAAUUCUGGGUUAUUAUUAGUCCUUCCAAGGGCAACAUAUUUGAAGAUUGAAGAAGGGGCGAUGCCAAAGCUUGAGAAGCUUGACGUGCCAUUAUUUGUGUCAGUGGUAAAAGCAUCUUACUAUUACUAAUUACUCCCUCCGUAUAGGAAAAGAAAGUCAUUUUGGACAAGGUUUGGGUCAAACAUUGGGAAUAUAAAUCAUGAAUAACUUUUAAGUUGUUGAGUUUGUAAAUGUGAAAGCCAUAUAAAUAGAUUUGUCUUGAAAAAUACUUUCAUAAAAAUAUACAUAUAUCAUUUUUGGAUAAAUAUUUUAUAAAAAUAAGGAGUCAGAGUAAUGCUUUGGAGACCGUGUCGCUGUCCAAAACAACUUCCUUUUCCUCCAAUUAGUCGUUAGGGUCCAGUAAAUAAAUUCAUGCGCGUACCUACGAUGCAAGGUGGAAAUUUAAAGAUUAUAAAUGUGGAUGAAAAUAUUAUAGAGUAAUUACUAGCUAAAAUCUAUUACAAUCGGAUAAAGAUAAUAAGUAUUGUGUUCGAAUAAUUAACAAAUGAGAAGUAGUUCAAGGUAAUAGUUUUGUAGCAAUGUGAACUCAUUUUGUUUCCAUUGGAGACUCCACAUUACUUCUCACGGGAUAUGCUAUAAAAAAAGACAAAUCUUAAAAAUUCUCAUAAAAAUCAGAAACAUCAACAUCAAUCCUAUAAACUCUAAUAACUCUAAUAAUCAUAGUAAUUGAUCUAUUAUAUUUUCUAAAAAGCUACUCACUACUAUCAUUAUGAAAUUGUUCUAAAGUGAACCCCUAAACCUAUAUCUAAAUUACCUAGCUCUGCCAUUAUAAAAAAAGAUCUAAUGUAACCCCAUAAUCUUCAUCCAAUUUACCCAUGCAUAUCAUUAUAAACCAUAACUUAAAAUGUCAUUCUAAAUUUGUAUCUAAGUUACCCACGUAUAUUAUUAAAAAUAACUUGAAGUAAACGCCUAAAUCUUAAUCUAACUAUCUUCAUGUUUAUCAUAAAGAAAUGUCCAAAAGUAAACUAAUAUAUGAUUCUGAAUUACCUAUUUAUAUCAUUGUUAAUAUACAAAUAUUAAGUUAAUGUAUAUACGCAUGAUGGGUGUCACCAUGUAAACUAUUUAUAUAUGUAUUUGAGGAAGUGAUGAAAAAUAUCGAUUUUUAUGCUAAACACAAUACAUAUGAAGGUGCGAUACAAAAUGAAAAAGACAUGCAUGUGGAUGGAAAAGUGUAUAGAGUAAUUACUAAUUAAAUAUCAAUCAUAACAGUAUAAAAAUCAUAACAGUAUAAAAAUAAGUACACAUCUAUAUAAGUAUUAUGUUGAAGUAUUAAAAAAAGAGAGAGUAGUAGGUAAACAAUUUUGAUUAUUAGUUAGGAGUCUAAUUUCUAAAUAAUUUUUUAAAUACAAUAACUUUUAAAAAUAUUAGCCCGUGCGGGAGUACGAGUUGAUAGACUAGUAUGGGUUUAACUUAGGUAUUAACCAUCUCCCAUGUCUAAAGCAUGCCAAGGUUAGACUUCGUACUAGACACGCGACAUCUUCCGAAAGCAAGGCUGCAGCAGCUGCCAUAAGGAGCGAAGCAAAUGCCAUCGGAGAAAUGGAAGAAGACGCGGAAGAGAAUGACACUGUUGAGGAAUUGCGUCUAGGUGAAAUUUUACUCCUGCAAAUGCGGGAUGUUGCGCUGCCUGCUUGAAUGAAUAUUGUGGUGAAGCUUUAAGGUGCCAUUCGUUUUUUCCUUUCAGACAGGAAAACAUAUGCGGAAGCUCAAAUUCGGAUGUCCCAGAAGAAGUGGUCUUAGUUCCAUUCGGUUAUGUUGAAACCUUGUAUCAGAUGUCCUAUUUAAGUACUUGUGUGUAACUUAAUUUGCUGGAUCAUGCAUUAUUUUAAGUCGAAACAGAUGGAUUGAUGUCAUGUUUCAGAGAUGUAAAGGUUUGGUCACUGCUGUAAUCUGAACUGCUACAAGCUCACCUGCUGACUGCUGUACCAAAGUCUCAGAGAUGUAGAGGCGGGCGGGACCUUGGGCCGGGUUUGGACUUUGGACUUUGGAUGCAAAGCAUUUUGAAAACCUCAGACCUCAGAUACCACACAGUUUUUCACAUUGUGGGCGACAUAGAAUACCACAGUUUAAGAAAACUUUUUUUUUUCUUUUGCAGUAUUUUAUUUCAAAAACAAUGGAGUGUUCGGCGAUCACAGUAUUUUGCAGACAUCAAGUUUAUUCGUUCAUGCCGAUCCUAUCUUACAUAUAGAUCAAAAUCACCAGAUAAAACAAGCACCAACCAGUUGCUCUUACGUGAUUAUCGUUGUAGCAUGUGGUAGUAGUAUUAGCGAGUAGUGUUUGGAUUUAGAUCAUAAAUUCAUAAUGCAUUCACACGUUCGAGCAAGAAGCAGCAGCCCUGCUCCUCCACGUCGGCCAGCAAGUUACCUGUGGGCCGGCCUAGGACGGAGGAGAUAUUGGGCCGGCUAUUUGAAAAUUAUUUAGACCGAUGGGCCGAUGAAUGUUCAAUUCAUUAUUUAUUUGUUGUUCAUCAUUGUUUCGUUAUUAUAUGCUCGAUAUUUUUGGGUGGUAAUCAUUGUUUCGGAAAGAAUGGUGACUGCAGUUACUUUUUAUCACUGUAGAUGUACUAAAAGUACGAUUAACCUAGCAGAAUGCCCAAAGACGAGGGGUAGCCUGCCAGACAUGGGAUGGGCAAUUUGGGGAAGUAGUGGCCAGUCUUUAUCGCCGCGACUGACUAAAACCAGGAGGAAAGGAACGCUAUUGGUCGACUGGUUAUUUUCAGACGAUCUGGUCUGGUGUGCAGCCGGUCUCCCCAUCAGUCACCCAACCGCUCACGCGGCAAGUCUCCCGGUAGGGGGCGCGGCGCACAUGCCCCCGCGGCGCAAUUUUCUUCGUCGCCGCCGCGUGGGGAGCUCCGUCCCGUCGCCGUCGCCGUCGCUCGGUCGCUGGCCCCCCAUGAGCCCGGCCGGCCGUGAUUGCUGCAUGUUAGCAUCCCAUCUUCCCGUCACCUACGCACACCUAAUCCCAGCCCCAGGACAGGCGUUCCUGGCAGACCACGAAAAGCUCCCCUCCCCCGGCCCCGCCCGGACGCGGCCUAUCAUCACGGACGCAACGCGAUGCAUCCCCUUUUCCCCCGAGCCCCGGCCAAUCGGACGCGCCAGAGUGUCGCGCUCGCGCCGGUGAUGAGAUGAGUUGGUGCCGUAACUGCAGGUACCGGCCGGUCUCCUAGGACCUAACUCACGUCCACUCCGGGCAUCACUCAUGGCCGCCGAUGAUCGCGUCGCGUGCGCGCUGGCCCAGGCAGCAAAGAGCGCCUUCAACGAUCCGUGUCGCGGCUCGGGGUGGUACUGGUGGGGAUCCAUCCAUCAUCCAUGGACGGACGGGGCGGACGACCGAGACGAAUGCUUCCUCCUCACGCCUGCUGAUUGCGGGCGGGGAGGAGCGGCACCGGCAUGCAUGCAGCAGCGGCAACAGUGGCGGCCGGACCAUGGCGCGCAUGCAUGGGCGCCUACGCCCUACGCGGCAUGGGGCCGGCCGCAGCGCGUGGCCAUGCCUCAUCACCACUCCGUGUCGGACGAUCUAUCCAUGCAUGCUUAUGAGUGCGUUGCACGCAGCGUCCGAGAAAGAGAAUGUACGGCUCGUCGAUCCCCCCUGGUGGCAUCUCGUCGUCUCACGUGAGGACGAAUGGAGGGGCAUGCAUGGCCGCCAUCAGUUCAGGCUUCGGCGUACCAAAUUGAUUGCGUUUUUGUCAACACAUUCAGCAAUAAUAGAAUGGCUCGGGUUCCUUGUGCCCGACGUCAGGCUCGGGCAUGCGUCAGAGGACAUUUACGCUUCAGAUCUCGCUCGCCAUUGCUUCUGCCGGCGCCGGGUCCCCUUUUUCUCGGAGCCACCCAGCCAGCGACACCUGAUCAUUUCCUCUCGUGUUGACCUGACGAGUAGUCAAGAAUCAGAUCGCCGAGCUGGAACAACAGGGCUCGCUCCUAUACCUACGAGAACGAGACUAGUGUGCAGCAGCAGCAACAAAGCGGCCAGCUGCUGAAAUGGUGGUAUAGACAGAGACCCCCGCUCGCUGUACCCAAACGAGCCCCGAUUCAAACCUGAUGGUGGCCAGUGACAACAACCAUGGCGCCCUGCACGCACACCAGAACCCCUGUAGACUGUAGUGUACGGUACCAGCAGCAUCUUGCAACGCAUUGCCACAAGCAGUCAAGCACACAUAUACACAGAGAAGGCGCUGCUGCUGAGAGCCGAUCAAUGUGACACUACACAUGUAGCAUGAGAGCCGAUCAAUGUGUUACUGUGUCGUCCUGCAACGAUCGAAUCCAGGAAACAGUGGUUUUCCCUUGUGAUCAGGGCAACACAACCACGCCGGCCAUGGCCAGGCGGCCACAGCUGCUCCCCGCGUCCAUCUGUCCUGGGGGCCCCCAGGCAAAGAGUGCUGUUAACUGUGGAUCUAGCCACAAAUGACAGUUGCAAUGCAUGUGAGCCGCCAUCAUUUCCAUGAGAUGUGAAGGAAGCUCCCCAUCCGUCCAUCCAUCCAUCCAUUCAUCCAUCAGGGGGGCCACAGAGCGCUGCAACAACUGCAAGCAUAUGCAUGUGAGAUCACAACCACACACACACUGAUCACAGCUAGCUUUUGGACGGUCAUGCACGAUCAAUUCCCCGUGUUUUCCUCUCUCUGCACUUGUAAGUAAGCAAGUUAGCAGGGCAUGCUGGUGGUGGCCCGGGCAGCAACAUUUCAUGGGGCCACGGCCCUUUUUCCUUCACUUGUGCUCUUCUUUCCCCCUCCCCCCCCCCCCCCCCCCCCCCCCCCCCCCCCCAGUGCCGGCCUUUGCUGCUUUCGCUGAGAUAGCAAGGAAGCUGAUUAAAUAUUGGACAGCAACGGGUAGAUGCCCUUGACUUGAGUGUUCCUCUCUCACCUCAGAUCAGUUGGGGGCCCCCUAAACCUAAAACCUUGCCCUAGCUAGGACUCACUCACCAGGUCACCAGUCACUGCACUACACUUGUUUGGUGGUACAAAACCCAACCAGCCAACCAACCCUCGGCGCCACUUUUGGACUUGAUGCGCGUCCUCCAGCCUCACAUGCAUGCGCCAUGCAAGCAGAGAUUAUCAGCCCUUCCUUUUGUUUUAAGUUUGGUACCUGGCUCUGCCAAAAAAAUGAUCAUAAUUUUGUGUCAACUUUUGCUUUUCGAUAGUACUUGCAUAUAUGUGCUUGAUUGAACUAAAGGGGAAAAAAAGGUGCCUUAAACCACGUACUUAGUUUCUCUGGUUGUUUGAUUAGUGGUUUUCAUACAAGCUUUUGGUUGAUCGCUGGUCUUGUCGGCCUUGUUUGGAAAUGGUUGCGUUUCAAGUUAAAGGCAGCUCAAGUCUAGGUAAUGUCAAAAUCAGCUUGACUGUUAAGGCAAAGCCUAGGUUCAUUUUAUACCCAAGAAAAGAGUCGAAAAGUCGUAAGAACAACACCCCCCCCCCCCACCCCCCCCCCCCCCCCCACACACACACAACACACACACCUGUUUCCAGCCCUCCAUGACAACACACUCUAGGAGAAAGAUACUGUGUGGAUUAUUCUUCCUUCAAAAAACAUACUUGCAUUUUUUUUCUCUCUCUCUCUCUUGUCCACCAUGUGGCAGCAGAGCAGUUCCACACCAACCGAUCCUAGAUCACAGGCACUGAUCAGAGGAAGGGUUUCAGACAGAAAACGUCAGAAAGGCAGCUAAGCUAAUCUGUUCCGAUUUCGUGCGCUCUAAUCCACCUCCGGCCUGCCUGCCGAGCUAGCGAGCGAGGUGCCCUUGGGGUUCGAGGCGAUCGAUCGAUCGAUCAUGUCGUGCGUGCCGUGGCCACGAGACCCCACGCAUUCAUGCGGUGUGGUGGCCGGAUCAGACCAGCCAUACAGAUAUGGCUGCCUGAACUUGACCUGAAGCAACCAAACCAAACGCCAACGCUGGCCGGUGAGCUAGGAGCAGCUGCAGCCUGCAUGCUAGGUCGUAGCAGUCAUGUGGUGCGGUUAAAGGCGCUGCAGCCUUUCGGUCUUGGGCGCCAACCACUGAUAACUGCGCAGAGGCAAUUGCCAAUUGAGGUCCUGUUUAGUUGCUCCUAAAAUUCUAACUUUAGCACUAUGCAAAAAGAAGAUUCCCCAUCACAUCAAACUUGCGGUACAUGCAUGGAGUACUGAAUGUAGACGAAAUCAAAAACUAAUUGCACAAUUUUGUUGUACUUCACGAGAUGAAUCUUUUGAGCCUAAUUAGUCGAUAUUUGGACGAUAAUUCAUAAAUACAAACGAAACGCUACAGUGUCGCAUUUAUGGCAAAAUGUCAAUUUGGCACCUCCCAACUUGGGAAGUAAACAAGUGCAAGGCCUGAUGUGGGUUGGGUUGGGUACUUGGGUUGGGUUGGGUAGGCAGGCAGGCGGCAGCCCAGCAGCAGCGGUAGAUUAGUGGAGUACUCGCCUAUCCUAAGAGUACAGUCAGAGACUAGGGCCUAGUACUGCCUGCCACUGCCAUGUUGUAAGUUAUUGGAAGGCCAUGCCUUUGCUUGGUGCUUGCACAUGAAUUAGGUGGGUGUUUGUUGCUCAUUGCGUGCCUGAUUUUCAGAGUUAGGUUUAGCUCCCUCUCAUCUCAUCACAUGCAAAAACAAAGGCAUUGCAGCUGCACUGCACAUGACCAUGAUCUACUUAAAAAGUACCAUAACCCACCAACUAGUAGUCUACUAGUAUCAAAUGCGAAAAUGGUGAUUCUUUUGAAAGUUUUCACCGAGUGGCAGUAACUUGUUUAUGCUCUAAAACUGUUUUCUCUUGAUACAAAAGCAUAAAUGUGUCAAGGCCCCUCAAUGUCCUCCUGUCUGUGUACCUGCACUGUGCACCCAAACGUAAUACUAAAAGCGAUGUGAGCAGCUGCAGUCAGGUACCAGAGGUACACUCCCAGUCUCCUCUCCCUAUACUCUGCGCCUGCAUGGGUGUGGUACGGUGUGCCCCCCUCUGCUCUGCCGCUAUAAAUUGAAGCCAUGUACUCAUACACUCCAUUGUUGCCAUAAACAAAAGCAGCACAAAGCACGGAUCCCUGCCUGAUUAAAGACCCCCAAAGAUUUGCAUUAAACUCCAAUCAUCCUCUCCAAGCUUCAUCGUUUGGCUUCCAGUUCGAAUGCUUAGCUCCCUGUUGCGAUCCGCGCGCCCUUUUCUAGCUCACUGUUAGGUGAAGCUCUAGCAAAUGCAAAGCAGCUGCAAGUGAGUGAGAGUAGUGGUCCUCGUCGUCGUCCUGCUUGCUGAUGAUCAGAUCUCCAACUCUCAAGCAGAGUAAACGCCCGCUCGCACCCUUUUUUCAGAUCAGUCCUGUGGCUUUGACAACACGCUUGCUCUAUGGUAGGGGGUUCAUGCGUCUCACCAUGAAAUGGAUCCAUCUGCACUGCAGCCAUGUUCACCGGUGGACGAUCUGCCCCCUUAUCGGCUGCUGCUAGAACGUUCCUCGAAGAAAAUUGGUUGGGUGUGGUGUCUUUGACCACCUUAGUAAAAUUUUUAGAUCAUGUUUGGAUUCACCCAACUAAAAUUUAACUAGCUAAAGUUUAGAAAAAAAAAUUUAGCUAGCUAAAGUUUGGUUAGGAUGAGCUAAAUGAUAGUUGAAGAGUUAUUUGUCUAUCCUACCCCUCUCUUCCACUUUAGAAACUUUUUCCGAGAAAGGUGGAGGGACAAUUUAGUUUUUAUCAAAAAAUCUUUAGCCAACUAAAUUUUAGCUGGGUCUCGUUUGGAUCCAUAGCAGUUAUAAUUAGCCAACUAAAAUUUAGCUGGUAGAUUCAUAUAGGAUCUUAAUGUUAUUACAACCCUUUUAAUGUCUAAUUUCUAGCAAGCAUACCUUUUUAUUCAAUAAUUUUGUUCUCUAUCAUUCCAUCUUAUAUGGGAGUAAACUGUAAAUCUUUACAUGAGUUUUUCAAAAAAGAAAUAAAUCUUUUUACAUUGAAUCAGUCUCGGUUACAAUUUGGUCAUGCAUUCGUCACUAAUCGGCUGCCAUGGAUCUCUGUCCCCCUCCACAAUUCACAAUUGGAUAUGUGAGAAGUUGGUUCAUGACAAGCCAGUGGUCCUCCUUUUGUUAAGAAAGAAUGUGGCUCGCCACUUGUGGGAGUGGCUUAUGACUUGCGAAAGCAGCUUAGCUUAGCGGCUUGAUCCACACGCCUGCACGUGCGACGACCCAAGCAGCCACACCACCACCAUGAGACGGCUGCUGCUGCUCAUCUGCAUCCGCUACUGCAGCUGCUAGUGGUUUGCAGCCCGACUCCACUCCGGAACGCAGAGAACGCCCUAGGCCUCUGCUAGUAGUGGGCUUGAAAUCCGGAUAAAGAGAACUCGGUGCAAUGGCUUUCCCUGCCUUAUCUCGAUCCAAGAAUAUUUUUUGGUGACGCUACAUGAGUAGUAGCUUUUUUACUGCUUUUUUUUAAAGGCCUUUUGCUCUGCCCAUUGUGUGAUGAUGCUGGAAUCGAAUCUGAAAAUGACUUUGAUUGUUGGAAGGAGGAGAAGAGAAAACAUUUGAUCCUUUCACCUCUCUCACAAGCUGCUUCUCCUUUUUACCCGUUUUUUUUCCCCUUUUGACAAAGGCUUUUCCGGUUUUGUUUGGACCAAAGGGGGGAAGCGGUGGGAAAGAGAGAAUGUGAGCAGAUAGCGCGGAUCCGAUGGUGGGCAUGUGUGCGCGCGCUUUCCUGGCCUCUUUCCAGGCCUUGGAUUCCUUGUACUGCUCCCACUACCAUUUGUCCCUUUCUUACCCAUACCCCACCUCCUCCUCCUAUAUUUAUCAUGUCACUUUUUUAUCUCUUCUUUUUUUUUUUACAUUAGCAUCACAGGAGCAAAUUGUAAAUGUUUACGGACAGUUUCCGAAUGAAAAAAGAGGAUAAAGAACUAGGACCAUCUUGUUUCAUGGCCCGCGCAAAUAGCGCAGCUAGCUAGAUUUCUUAAUACUAACAUUUGAGCUCUUUUCUUGAAAAAAUCAUUUAACUAAUUUUGUGUUGUUGUUUCAUUACUGUUGCUUUAUCCAAAUUGCCUUUACCAAGACAUAAUCUUUUUAAAAAUUGUAUUUAUGGCGUCAAACAUGAAUUUUAAAUAAAAUGGAAUACCUUGUUCAAAAAUAUAGUUUUUUUGUUUAUUGAAACUAAUAUAUAUUUUUUGUCAUGUGAUGUGAAUUUCUACUGGAAAGUUUUAGGGACCGAUUCGUUUGAAACCAAACCUUGCCACACUUUGCCACGCCUAAGGUUGUCGAGUUUGACCAAGUCAGCAGCUAUUUGGUUGUAGCCACAAACUAUGACAGGACUUCUUUUCUACCAUAUCGGUCGCACAUACCUGUGAUUAAAAAAAGUGUGGCAAGAUACUCCUAUGCAAGCCAAAAAAAGUGAGCAAACAAUUUAAUGAACUGAUUAUUGGCAAGAAAUUGUGACAAACAUUAACAAUCUUAAUAUAUCAACCGAAGAGGCUCAUAGUUAUGGUGACAUAUUAUAUAUAUUCUUAGAUUUUAAGAAGAAGAUACGGGUGAGUUUGCUGGACGUAGAUUUGCUUCUUGGCAAGCAUUGAAGUUGGCCCCCGAGUGUGUUUACGUGGAGAUGUUGAUGUAUUCCAAAGGGUAAGCUAGCUAGAGGUUUGAUCAAAACGUUGGUUAUUCCUUAUUGUGCAUCCACUCAAGUCUCAAUUUUUUUUGUUCCUUUCAUAUAUUUCAGAUACGUAUAAAUUUUUUUUCCUUUUAUAUAUUUCAGAUACGUAUAAAUAAAUGCAUGGACUUGUAUUUGACAUGGGCUCAUACCCUUGUUCCAAUCACGGAAUCACUUUCUAAUUUCCUUGUUAUUUUAAUUCUGAAUUUAUAUAUUUAUUAGGUGUAUUUAAUGUGGACUCUUUAGGUUGAUCUAAACCGUUGGAUCAUUAUAAAAUCCUACGGUGCAUGUUUAAUGGACUCUUUGGAAUAAUCUUAGCCGUUAGAUCAUCAUAAAAUAUAACAGUGUGUAUUCUUUUCUUUUUUCCGAUUAAGUAGAAUAAUAUGAACGUGGUAAUUUCUAGGCCCUCUCAGUGAACGUGGUGGCUUCUUUUAACACUAUUGUAUUAAGAUAAUAGAUUCCUCACAUCAAGGAGAGAUGAUCAUACAUCAUCUUAUUAGGGUGGUCCUUUUUUCAGGCAAUGCUCCUAUUUCAAAUCCAGUGGACUAGCAUUGACACUCACCAAACAAAAGCUUAUCAUCAGCUGAAUGCCCCAUUUGGAACGUGGGAAACCCUAUCACUCUACCACCUAGGAAACCCUAAUACCCAUUUCCCAUCUGGUAUAGCCCCCCUUCAAGAUGAUCAUUACCGUGUUCUUUUUGACCGGGGUUCGGGAAGUCCAGUGCUCUACCACCUUAACCGCGACGCAAAGGCAAUCAUGAAGGGCGAUUGCACUUGCCAAAAGGCAAAGCCAGGGCGGGGUUUCACAGUGAAAAAGCAGGCAAGGCCAUCAUCAAAGUCACCAAAGCGCCUCACGCCUCUCGUGCAUCUUCGCUUGGACUUUGGGAAUUGAGAGAGAAAGAUAGUAAAAAAAAAGAACAAAAACAAACAACAACGCCACACACAUCACACAUGUGUGCUUGCACGCCUUCCUUCUCUGCCGCUUUUCCUGUGAACCCCUGAUGUCUACUCCUCGCGCACAAGUAAACCUAGCUUUUUUUUCUUUAGGGCAAGUGCACGAGGACUAGACGAGAUGGUGCGGUGGUGCCUCUUUCCCCUGUCAUUAACUCGUGCGUAACCCCGUUGUUUUCGUGUGCUUUUCGUUAACCCGGCGAGCCAGGGCACUCAGCAAUAGCAAACCUGAUGGCGCCUUCAAGUUUUUCCUGAUGAUUUUGCCGCACGCGUGAUGGAUCAAGUCUUCAUGGAAAGGAAAGAGGAGAUGGGCCAUGGUCCAUGCCUCCAUGGAGAGAGAGCCGCCGUGUGGAUGCUGCUGGGUCGCCAACAUGUCUCGCUGAUGUGACUCGGUUAGAUCUGCGAAAUCCUAGAAGCCGCUUUUGGCCUUGGAUCGCUGUAGUAAUAAAUACUACUCCUGCGGCGCUGCCCGAACAAGCCUCCGAUCACAGCGCAACGCGCGGUGUUUUUGACUGUUAUUCAAUGCCUUCCUCGAUGCUCCGUCGCCAGGGUUGAUUGUUACUGCUACCGGCAAUCCAUGCCUGCUCACGCCAAAGAAAACGCAUUCCCGGGUCUCUCUCACUGUCACUCCAAUGCAGCGCUGUCGCGCUGUCUUCUGAAUCAAAACACUACCUACGUCAUAGGGUACGUGUACCGUCAGUUCGAGGGGCGUUCGGCUCCGGGGCCAGCGGAUUGCUCUAGAAAAGUUUUAGAGCUCGAUCCGAAUUCGUUGCUGAGAAUCCUUGAGAUUUGAGUCCAACCAUCGUUACCAUGAAAUAAUGCGCUAAUAUAAGAAGUAAUAUGUCCUGCCAUUCCAAGAUUAAAAAGAUUUGCUCUCCAAUACAGUAAUAACAAAAACACCGUCGGUUCCUCCAGCCCUGCCGAUCCAGCAGUCCACGCAUCCAUCCGACUAUCCGAGCACAGGCACAGCAAAUGAACUGGCUACAAUAAUGCGAAUGGCAUGUCGGGCGCGGCAAGGCACGAGGGCGAUGGCAUCCGCUCGUGAGUCGUGAUCUACUAGGGCUCACUCCACAUCCAUGGCUCCAUGCUAUUCUACUGCUAGCGCUACAACCAGCGACCAGUGCUUCACUGCUUUGCCCUGUUGACGAGUAUGGUACCGCACGCAUUGGAUUCCUCCCGAUCCAUCCAACUGCAGUGCAGUGCGGGGCAUGCAGCGUGGUAGAUCGACCAGCUUCAGACCAGUCAGAGAUCAGCCAGAUCAGAUGGUACCUGCUGCUGCGAAUGCGCAGCUCCAUCAGGCAUCUCAAACGCAGAGAAAAGAGGGGAUCAAAAGGAGAGAAAGAAAAGAAUCAGAGAAACAAAGGAAAGAAAUAAAGGGGAAACGAAUGAGCAGUGGCAUUUUCGCGAGGUGCAUAGCUUCUUUUCAGCUUUAUUCCGGUGCAUGCACGGUUCUUGCUUGCAUUUCAUGUACUGCUGCUUUGUUCUUGGCCUGACACCCUUCUUUUUCGGCUUUGUCAACGUUGCAAACAGGGUGGUGAUCAAAGUACAGAUUAGUACUAGUUUAAUCACUGUUUCAAAUAAAAAAGGGAAAUAAUAGUAGGAACUGAAAUAUUUUUUUUCUUUGUUAUUUUGGUUCAGUUUUGCAGUUGAGGUUUAGCUCAAAGCCUCAAACCUGUCAUGGUGGCACUACAGACCCACCUGUUCCAACUAUGCAAGUGGCCGCGACCCUACACGAAAGCUCCCUGGUCAAAUGUCUCAGCAUGCUGCGCAGAAUCAUUUGUCCGCUGUCUGCUAGCUGCUCCCCUUCCGAUUGCUUGCUCCCCUGCAUAUGGCACAUGAUGGAGGGGAGGGCUCCGGUACUGCGAAACCAUUGACAAUGGGGGUGAUGGAAGCCGGGAGGGAAGAAUAAUGCGGUGCGCCGGCCAUGAUCUCAUUUACAUUGCUUACAAGGAAUAGAGACCCUCGGGAUUUAAUACACCUCUUAGUCUUCGAAAAUGAUAUCGUUACACUUCUUCUUCUUCUUCUUCUUUUUAAAAAAUAAUGCAUAUGUUUCGUUUUAACACAUGGACCGGUUGCAGCAAGCACGGUGCGUGUGCAUCAACGAGACUUUCGUACUACACUUCUUUUACAAGAUUCCCAUUGCACACGCCUUGUUUGUGUACAGCUCAAGGUCUUGCAAAGGCCAAAAGAGGGGGGGGAAAGAAAAGGAAGAGCCGGCAGUUCGUUCAUGUGACAAAGAGCAAAAGCUAACGCCAAGGUCAAUUACCGCAAAGCUACAUGGCACCCGGCACACACGCCCCUCAGGAGAUGCUGUCCCUUGGUAGGCAUUGACCACCGGAGCAAUGCAAGAUCAUGGCGCAUCAGCGCGUUAAUUAAAUCUGUCCCUUGAGGGGCUCAUGACUCGAAGCCGCAUCUUCUAUCAUGAUUGACUAAAAAAACAUAGUCCCAAUUACUAAGCCAGAGGUAUCAUCGAUCGAUCACGAUCAUCUAGCUUGACCAACGAGAAAAAAUAAUAUUUUAUUUCGCCUAUGCAUGGGCACAAAUUUUAUUUUAGGGAACGCAAAUUGCAUGGACAUAUAAACAAUUGAAGUUGCGUCCUCCUCCGGUGCAGACAGAAAACUUUUCGACUCGAUGGGGGUCCCGAUACACUCCAUUCCGUUACGGCAAACAUAUGCGCGGAAAGCUCAUGUAUAAACAUACAUACGCGUACUGACUUACGGCGAGCAUAUGCACGCAAGUACCGAAUUCCGUAUAAACCGGGUCAUUUCCUUUUCUUUUCUUUUCUUGUAAACGGAGUUCUACGGGCAUGCGCGGUAUUGGUACAUUUCUUCCUCCUUUUGCUACCGUUCUGAAAAGAAAAUUCCUUUUGCUACCAUGGAUGCGCACCGUCUUCCUACACGUGGGAGACUCGCACGAAAGCAUGAUUCACACACUUGCUCAGCACUUAAGAAUGCCCGCAAACGCAACCGUCGCGCGCUAGGCCCCACGAAAACAACCAAAGGGUGGGUCGAUCCUCCCGUAUUCGAUUCCUCUCGCCAUGCAAUGCAACCACCACCAUAUUCCCGAUCCCAAUUCGCGCGCACGAUCCCGGGCUCUUUGUUCCUCCCGGCCUCCACGCUUACUUCCACGGCACAGCUCGAUACGGACCCCGACAAAGUCCUCAAUCCUGUGCCAGAUCCCCGUUGCCCACACGAACCAACGGCGAUCCGAUCCUUGCAAGCCCGAACGGCGCCGUGGGAGCAAACUGUGCGUGCCAGGGCACAGCGACGACGGUGCUCGCUGUCGCUGGCAUCUUGUAUUCUUGUUCCAAUUUCCAAGUCGGCUGGCGAUCGCAUAGACGAAGGUACGAGGCGACGGAACCCCGCCCGGGACGGGGUCUAGACUCUACCGAGAUGGGAUCCGCUAGGUUUGGAUCCCGUCAGAUCAUGCCGGCUCGGCCGAGAAUUUUUUGUCUGCGACUGCGACGCGACGAGAGCGUACGCACGCACCGCUUCCUGAUUGGCGAUCCGUGCCGCCGCGGCUCCCGUCCGGUGGCGCUUCUGUUGUUGCCGCGCGCCGCGCUGUGCCGAGUCCGCUGCUCUGACGCGGCCGGCCGGGUUCACUUCACCCCACGUGUACAGGGAACUCGGCAGCCGCUGGAUGUCACGUCGCGGGAAGACCCAGGCCACCAUGCCGGCGGGGGUGGUGGGGUGGGGGCCGUCGCGUCGCAUGGUCGGGUCGGUCUCUGGCGUUCCGGACGGGGCGAGGCGUUUGCUUCCGUUGCUGGGCUGUGCUGCUUCCUCCUUUUCUUUCUCCUCGCGAACUUCCUGGUGGUUCAGCGUGAUGCGGCGGUAUUCGGAGACUCCAAGUUUUGUGCUACGACUUUAACUCUACCGCACCCGUCGUUGCUUCGCCCUCGUUUUCCAUUUGGUGGAUGUCAAUACCGUCACUGUUCUCUGAUAGUGGGACAAGAAGCUAAUGUGGCCGUCUUUUUGCAGGUACUGGUUGGAUACAGUACAGCGCCGGUAGGUUUCACAUGAGUUCCAAAACGUCACCCAAUCCCAACUUCAACUUCAUUUCGUCGUCCUGGGUGUUUCAUACGGCAAUUUUAAAUGUACCACUACUAGUUUUUUAAUUAAAAAACUGGUGUACGAGAAAUCUUUUACCAAGAAAUUGUAGCCAGUCCACAGCACUCCUCCUAGUACUAGGAGGAGUGCAGCCAGUAGGACGUAUCUUUCCUACCGUAUCGUGCCGCAGGUAUAGCGCCUUGGGAGCGGUAAAGGCCGGCCGCCACUCAUCACCGUGGCGCGCCUUUACUGUAGCCUAGGGGAUAGAACAAAAACACCAGCAGUAGUACCACUAAAUUCACGUCACUUUUGCAGUCGCCUACUCGGCUACUCCUACAUGGCUACCACCACCACCUCGUCACGGCUCCCAACAACAUGAGCAGCCAGAGAGAAAGCUCCAAACCUCCCAGGUCCCGAGAUCAAAAAGAUGCGACCACGCAGACGCUGCACACACCCCAACCGAUUGCUAAUCACCCCAACUCGAUGCAGCCGAGCUGUGCCUCCUGGGCUCUUGGCCGUACCUCCACAGCGUCCUUCCAAAACUCCAAGACACAAGGCGACAAAACCCAACGAGACCUCAACUCCAAAACUCGAUUAGAAAAAGGGCUUGGAAUUCUAGGGUAACUUAAUUGAGACAAAAACAAAAGCUCAAAAAAAGAAACGGGCGCGGGUAUUCCUCGGCUCCUCUUCCCUAGUAGAAUACGUACAUGUGAGGUGUGACAAGACGACGACACCCAUCCAAACAGCACCGAGAAAUCUCAAGUCUCAACGGGUGAAAAGGAAGGAGGGGGAGGCAAAAAGAAAAAAGAAAAGCCGGAACGCAUUCCAUCUGCUGAGCCUGCGCCUUGCUUGGCUACGCCGGGUCUACGCUGGACCGGUGGCACGGAUACGCAGCCGUGGGCCUGUAGGGGACUAGUACUGGUACGUCAUGUCAGCCGUUGGAGGGAGGGUGCGCCGCCGGCCGCGGCGGUGGGUUCUUCCUCACUGCGGGGCCUCGCCGGCGUUGGCGGCGGCGAGGAGCCACCGGUCCAUGGGCACGCACUGCGCCUUGUGCGCGCGCUUCCAGUCCAGCGCCUGGCACGCGCGGGAGCAGUAGUUGGCGGCGCCGCACACGGAGCACCGCCGGAACUCGUGCCGCCGGGUCUCGCGCCGCCCGCACCGGACGUGCGAGCACAGCCGGAGCUCCCCGCCGUCGCUGUCGCUGUCGCCCGUGCCGGCGCCGGGGCCGAGCUUCUUCCCGGCCGCCGCCUGGGCGCCGCGGGAGGCCCACCAGUCGACCAUGAACUGGUUCGCCGCGUGGGGCUCCGCCUCGGGGAGGCUCCACCCGAAGUCCGAGAGGAGCGGGCAGCCGCCGGCGCCCGCGGCAGCUGCCGCCGCGGCGCCGAGCGGGACCGCGGCGGCAAAGGGGUGGCGCGAGGCGGCGGCCGCGGCGAGAGCGAGGGUCAGCUCGCGGGCGUUGGCGGCCACCAGGAGGCGCCGGCCCUCGGCGGGGUCGCGCCGCACGCCGUAGCCAUCCUGGAGGCAGUGACCGAGCUCGCGGAGCGCGUCGACGUGGCCCAGCGCGGACGCGCGCGCGCACAGCGCCGCGCCCGCGCGGAGGUCGCGGUCCGACUUGGCGCCGCCGCUGCCGUUGAACUGGAUGACCGCCAGCGAGUAGAGCGCCGCGGCGUGCCCGCCGACAGCCGCCCUCGCCAGCAGCGCCGCGCCGCCGCUCCGGCUCCCAAGGCAGUAGAAGCGAAUCUGCAGGCAGAAGCAAACGCAACCGUCAUCAGCACUCGUCCCCAUCACGUACGCAAGGUCGAGUUGAGGAGCAGAAUCAACUCGAUCAACUCCGCUAACUUGUUAGGGUUGUUGGGCGUGGCGUACCAUGCCGAGAAUGUAGCAGGCCUCGAGGUUUCCGGCGUCGGCGCAGCGCUUGAGGAACCUCUGCGCCGGCUCGGACCACGCCGCCGCCUUCACGGCCAGCGACGCCGGCGAGGCCUUGGCGAACACCAUCUCAUGGCCGCCCAGCUCGUUGAGUCUCUUGCACCUGAAAACGCCAAGACGUCAGUGGCCAAUACUUUCUGCCUCCACCUAUAUCCCCAUGACCCCGCCUCUAUGUUUCCGUAAACUGCAAGAUAAUCCCCACUCCCCCACGCAUUUCAAACACUGAAACGCGCGAGGGAUGGGGAACGCUUGCAAUCCGAAGAAACACGAGGGGCUUCCUCCUCAUGGGCAAACGGAUUGAUGAUGAUGAUGAUCAGGGGCGCGGACGUACGUGAGGUGCACGGACAGCAGGUCGGAGGGCGCGGAGGCGGAGGCGGCGAGCUUGGACAGGAUGGAGAGGACGAGGUCGUCGGGGAGCUCGUCCAGGUAGUCCGGCCCUCCCGCGAGGCGCUUCCGGCGACCCUGGCCGGCGCACUCGCCGGCGACGGCCGACUGCCCCAACAUCGGCGCCGACCUCUUCCUCUUCUGCCCCACGGCGACCUCGCCUCCGUUGUUGGAAUACAGAGACCCGCUCCUGGUCCUCAUCUCUCUCCCUCCGCACGAGUCGUCGUCGCCGCCUGGACGGGGACUGCGCGCAGGCGGAGGCGGGGGAAGCGGGUGGGACGGCCGGGCGAGAGCGAGCGAGACGACAGGGGAGCGCGGUGCGGUGCUUGUGCGGAAAAGGGCGAGCAAGCCGAAGGGCUUUUAUAUAGAGGGGGAGCGUUUCAUCCGUACCGUGGGCCGUGGUGGGCCCGGAUUGUCAGGAGAGGAGGUCGCUUCAGUUUUUACUGCUUUAUUUAUGGUGCCCUGCCAGUAUUGAGCUGACCGUAUGAGUGCUGCGAUAACUCUACGCGCGGCUCAGCGGUUGAAUGAAAAGCAUCAAUGCCAUAGGCUCCCUUCCUCCUUUUUACCGUCAGCUUUUCUGAAAGAAAGCCUGCGAGAACAAGGACGGUGCAAUGGGAGUUUCCUCUUCUUUGAGAUGGCGUUUGCUUUUUACUUUGCUGUACGUUACUCCUUUUUUACCUUUUCCUAUUUUUUUUCUUGAGACGUCCGGAGUGGAGUACUACGGCCUUGUUUAGUUGGUCAAUUUGGGAGAUGCAAAAUUCCUGUUCUAGCACUGUAGCACACUGUAGCGUUUCGUUUGUAUUUGUAAAUUAUUGUCCAAAUAUUGACUAAUUAGGCUCAAAAGAUUCGUCCCGCAAAGUACAAUAAAACUGUGCAAUUAGUUUUUAAUUUCGCCUACAUUUAGUACUCCAUGCAUGUACAGUAAGUUUGAUGUGAUGGGAAAUCUUCUUUUUGCAUAGUGUCAAAGUUGGGAGUUGGAGGUAACUAAACAUGGCCUCGUACAGAGUACCUCGACAGUACUGCAGUAUAGCGCUCGUAGUCGUAGCAGAUGCCGAUGAAUGAUGUUGUCGUGUACUACGGGGGGCGUUUGGUUCCUUUGCUUAUUUUUAAGCAAGUAUCACAUCAAUGUUUAGAUACUAAUUAGGAGUAUUAAACGUAGGCUAUUUACAAAACUCAUUACAUAAGUGGAGGCUAAACAGCGAGACGAACCUAUUAAGCCUAAUUAAUCCAUCAUUAGCAAAUGUUUACUGUAGCAACACAUUGUCAAAUCAUGGACUAAUUAGGCUUAAUAGAUUCGUCUCGCCGUUUAGCCUCCACUUAUGUAAUGGAUUUUGUAAAUAGUCUAUGUUUAAUACUCCUAAUUAGUAUCUAAACAUUGAUGUGACACUUGCUUAAAAAUAAGCAAAUGGAACCAAACCAGGCCACAGUCGCCUGCUUAUUUUUCAGAUGGAGAGCAGUAAUUUGUGUGGCUUAAAAGCUUGCCUGCUCAGUUGAUCUUAAAAAAAAAAAAAGAGCACAUGGCUCCGUGCAUCCGUGAUCUUUUUUCUUUUGGUUAAAAACAAGGCUUGUCGUCGUGCAGUGUACAUGCGGAAACUGUUUCCCGCAGAAGCAAAGCCGCGGAUCGGGCAGUGCUGCAUCACAUUUCCCCGAUAGGGAAUCGCAGCGGCUAGUUUAUCUGCCGCGGCACGUGAGUCGUCGAUGCCCCGGCGAGGAGGCACAUGCGGCCGCGCGUGGAACAGGACAAGGGGGAGCUUCCUUUUCUCCGCAUCGGUGAGGCAGGUGGGCGUUGGCGGGAGCUCCCGGCCGGCCGGCCUGACGGGGCCCCUGGAUGUGCGAGCGAGUGAGCUCACCUCGGCCGGCCGGCCGGCGGUGGUGGUGGUGCUGGUUGGGUCGGGGUGGUUGGGUUGGGUUCCCCUCUGCUCGUCUCGUCUAGGGUGGGUGGGUCGACCAGACCAGACCAGAACCGGAUGAGCCGCGCGGCGCGCGCAUGGCGCGAUGCUGCUGAUGCGGGGCGCUCCAUGUGUCGCGCCUCGGGUCCCUCCCCCACCCGAGCGGCCGCGGCCGCCCUCUGACCCUGAACCGCCUUCUUUAUUGCCGCCAUCCGUUGCCAUGUCCGUCCCCUACCCUCGGUCUUUAUUGUUUCCCCAGCAUUCACUCGGUCUCAGUCACUCGGGACUCGGCUGCCCAUCCGCUCCGCCGCUACGGCCAUCCGCUCCGAGCAGCGCCACGGCCUUCACGAGAGCAGGAUUGAUUCCCAUGCGCUGCGCGGCAGGCACAGUCAGCAGCCAGCACUCAGCUCAGCAGGGGGGCAGGGAGUAACACGAAAGUAGUUGCAGGGGGGGAGUGGCUCCGGUCCGGCCAACUCCAUUUUCUUUUUCCAGGCACGCUUGUCAGCAUGGGCUGUCAACGUUUUUUUUUUUCGAAAACUAUGGGCUGUCAACGUGACUUGCAUGUCUCCAUGCGAUCCGUAUGGUAUGGCACAGGGAAACCGUCAAUUCCUCGAGAAGAUGGCGGAGUAGCGCUGGAUGCGAACGCUUGUGCUUCGGGACAAAUGGGUCUGCAUAGACUCAUCACAGGCAUCUUUCGCUGAUCUACUACGGAAUGGGCGAAAUCUUGUGCUCUUCCCAGUUCUGCCCUCUUGGGAGUUUGGGACGUGGACAUCGGCCCAAUUCAUAGAGAUCAUAAUCAGCUUCUCCUCCGGUUGAAAAAAAAGAGCGUUGGAUUGGAUCGGAUACGGAUUUGAGAAAAAAAAAGUGCAAUUUAAUAUUCUAUUUGAAAUAAUCAUGGCACAUUGGCACGGUGUGCUCAAAACAUUGUAGCCGGUGUUGUGCAUUCAGGCCUCUUUUACCUUUCAAAUUGUUUUUUAAUAGAUGAAAGAAAGCUAUCUUGGUAGCAAUAUACCGUGCUGGUCUUCUUUGGAAGCAGACUUAUGAGAAUAUGACAUUUUCGGGUUUGGGGCUGAGAAUGCUUAGGAAGAUUUUCGUUAGAGAGGAGCCGAUCUAGUUUCUUGGAGAUGCUUAUAGGUUCGGUGUACACGCGUGUGUUUAUAUAGAGUAUGCCGCUCAAGCAUUUUGCCUAUGCUUGUGUCUCAAAAAAGAAAAAAAAUAUAUCUACUCCUUGAUAUGUUGUUAUAAUUUACUAAUUAAGUCUGAAUUUUGGCUGGGACAAAAUGGAGAUGGUUCAUUAUUACUCUUUAAAGAAAAAGGAUUUUGAAGUAUGUAAAGUAAACAUAGCAAUUACUCCCUCCGUCCCAUAAAAACUGUUUGUUUAGAAACUUUUAGACAAGAUAGUAGCAAUGCUAAAAGUCCAAUAAUAGGAUGAAUUACCGAGUAGAAUUAAUUAUGCAUACACGCUUGCAGUAAUUGUUGGAUCUAUUAGCCUUCCUUAUUUAGCAAAUCUGGCUCAGGCAUCGAUGGUGGGAGUAAAUGAUCGAUUCGUUAACUAUACCAGAAGGUAUUAGGAGGACUUUGUUGGAUGGUCUAAAAAUUAUAUAAAUACUUUUUGUGGGAUAAACUUUGGAGGCUAAUGAACAGUCUUUUUGGACGGAGGAAGUACUUCACGAGAUAACCGUGCUCGCUAGUCGCUACCUUACUUUUCCCCGCUUUCAGUCACGCUGGCUCGAUAGAACCCACAGCUUGACCAAUAACUAUCCGUUGCUAUCCCGGCCACGAAUGUUCUCCACCGGAUCACAUCAAAGGCAUCGAGCCACGGGCAAGCGCCACCGAAACCGCACACGAUAUUUCCCAGGCCGGCGUUUAGCCACUUCGUCCCCGUUUCACCAUCGGCACACGAUAACACCCAGACCCAAAAGCAGCAACUGGUCAGAAACGCCGCGCCGCUCUGGCACCUGAGGAUCCCGAAUUCCCGAUUCGGCAACGGCAGGGGAAGGUGCGGCGCAGGUGGGUAAACGUGGAGGGCUAGUAAACCCGGCGGGUGAGAGGCCGCCCCGCGUGUGGCUGCCGUCGCGAUGAGCCGCCGAGACCGUGGCAGCCAACCCGGACCCCGCGCCGGAUUGCGCGAGCCCGGCCAGCGGAUAAGGCGGGGUCGCGGUGCGCCACUGGCUCGAACCCAAUCCAUCCGCGCGCCCGCCCGGGCUCCCCGCGUCCAUACGCUCGAUUCCCCUCCACGCUGGUCACGCGUGCGCGCACGCGAGACCCUCGCGUCGCGUCGCGCUCCGAUCCACCUCCUCCACCCGUCGUCCGUCUCUCAUCCGCAUGGACCCCGCGGACUCACCCGCGCGGCCGCCGAUCCGGCUCACGGAGCCCUUGGGGGUUCUCGGUUUGUUUGCUCGUGCCGUUCCGUCCUCGGCUUUGCCCGGCGAGUUGGCAUGUGCCAUGUGCGGGGAGGAUGCAUCGGCCGCCGUCCUCCUCCGUCGCUUGCACCAGUGAAGCUAAGCUAGGCCUAUCUUUAUCCGUGGAGAUCGCGGGCGGGGCUUUAGCGAUAGGACGGGCGGAACAGGUCGCGCUGCCGGGAUUGCUGCUGUUGUUGUUGCUGCUGCGUCCACGAUCGCGCCAUCGCGGGGGGAUGGACAGUUGGACAUGGUCUGUGCCGUAGCCCAAACAUUAGCCACUUGUCAUUGCACUGCACCGGGUUCCCCUCCCCUCCCUAGUGGCGCACGUCCGGUCCGACCUGUACCCCACUGGCACAAAGCCGGCCGCCUCAGUUCGUGGGCGGUAUAUACAGAGACAUCACAAUGGAAAAGAAAGAUCGCCGAGAAAGAAAGAAAAGGAACAAGAUGUGCGUGCGUGGAUGUGCCGAACGAACAUUAUGUUGCAAAAAAGGAGGAAGUUGUGUUCGGUUCUCUUCUGUCAUGCUUACAUCAAACGAGGAGGAGCAAGAACGGCACUGCUUCUAGAUCGACCACAUGCUGGGGUUUUCCGACGUAAGACUGAAACCAGCACCAUGCAAUCAUGUACUACUACUGAUAUUCAUCACUCUAAGAAAUAUGCAACAAAAGACCGCUCAAAAGAACAUGCUCGAGUCAUAAAGGGAAAAAGGGUUAAAGGGGUCGUCAGUAGUAGCGUGUUUAAAAUGUGUGAUUUAGUAUGUGUACUGUUCACGUACAAAAAAAAGGGCGAGAUGGAGCUUGCAUUGCAUCGCUCGCGGCAAAAGCCUACAACUUUGAUCGAUCGACGACUAGCUUGCUUGCAAAGAAAAGCGGCAAAAGGAUACAUUUUAAUUGCUCGCAGCAUGAUGCCAGAUAAUCCAACGCAGCGGCGCGGCGUCGGUGCAUGGCUGGGAUCCAUUGGUUACAACCAACUUGGUACGCCAGAUCCUCCUGCUCCUGCUGAACCCUCCAAAAGUAAAACUCACAGUACACCUUCCCAAGCACAGCAGUACCAUAAAACCUUUUUUUUUGUUGUUUGAGAAUAAUACAAAACAGAAAUGAAGAACAUGUAUGCUUUCUUGUGUAUUACUCGACGUUGCGAAUUUCGUAGCCACAAAUCUUGCGGAUGAUAAUCGUGUUAUCGUCAUGAACUCACUGGGCGGCCCACAUGUUAUCCGUCUUCGGUUAAGCUACCUUGCUUGCAAAAUGUGUGGUGUUCGGAGGGCUAGCCGGGGCUGAAGAAAGUUCACUGUCAUUAGGUGUGCCCACGGCGCCUUAAACUAACGGAUCCGCUAUAAUACAUCGCAUCCCAACAAAGCAGAGGGCGUUAAGUAUUCAAUUGGAGGGUAAUGGUUGCAAGCAACACUGUUCAUGUGUGAUUAGAUAGGAUGACGUACCUAUCUCUGCAAAUUCCUAAAAAGAAUGCCGUCCAAACAACUACCAUGCAUGCCAUCUAGAAAAAUGAGUUGCAUUACCGUUGGCGUUUAUGCAGCAGUGUCCGGUUAAUUUUUAUUCUCGUUCUUUUCUCUUUUCUUAUAAUUAUUAAAACAAGGUUAUAUUACUUUUCUGUUUGACCAGUAGUAACUAGUCCAUCACUCAUUGAUCUUAUUGCUUGGAAAGUCUGCCGAUGAUGAUGUCCGCAUCGUUGCUGUUCCAAUCGUUUCGCAUUACGGCCGAGUUCGAAAUGAAUUCCGCGGUGACUUGAGCUCGAUUGAAGCCGACAUCAGAAUUAUAUUGAAAAUACUGAAUCUUGUCCCCUGGUUUUCACUGUCAACUGAUGAGGUUUCAACUGUAAAUUAGAUGAUACAUUUGGCAUGAGCUCCCAAGUUGUCAUGAAUCGGCAUGCGUUAGACAUGGUCUUAAAGCAUAAUUUACUUUAGUGUUUGUUUUUGUGUGGGAGCAAAAGAGUUGGCAUGAACUCCCAAGUUGGAGUUUCAUAUGGGGAGUUCAGUUUGGCAGACUUGAAGAAUCUGAAAGUAACCUAACCGAUGGUAUCUAUAUAUCUACUGAACAGCACAGAACUGUAUAAACUUUGCUUCCAUAAUAUCGUUGGAGUAGAUGUGACGGGUUACGACUUCGGACAAGAUCAUUCUUCUUCUUCUCUUCCGUCUUCAGGAAGCAUUUGUGCGAAGCAAAUGAGAGGUGGAAGGAAAGCCGAGACGUUCCUUUACCACAACAGUUCAUAGUUGCAGCUGCAGAGAAGUAUCUGUCUGAGUUCUGAGUAGUGUGUCUUUUGGCCACAGUUGACAGUUGCGUAGGAGAUUGUAGGGUUUGGUUGCCUAAGGUGUUACUGUCGCAUAGAUAUAGUGCAGGAGAUGUACACUCACAUCGCCCCUCUCCAUGUGCUGGAGAUGUACACUCACAUCGCCCAUCUCCAUGUCAAGAUUCCAGCUGUGUUGCUGUGCACAUUUUCUCCAUGGAACCGGAGUUUGACAAGAAAAGCAACAUUUUUCCUCUCUUCCUUUCUUGCUCUUAGAUCUGUCAUUCUCACCGAAAACUGUCAGUUGGAACGCUAAAACUCCCUGUGAAAGACAGUUAGUAGACAAAUUAUUAAAUGUCCUCAAGAUUAAUAGCCAAGGCCAACCUGCAGCCAGUUCUUGUAUGAAUUUUUGCUGUUUUGUUAGUACUACUGACCGAUAACGGACCCAGUGUUACACUCUGAAAUUUUUGAAUUUCAAGAUGUGAUUUGAAAGAACAAUUAAACAAUGAUUUUCUCUUAAUUUUUUAAAAAAAUUCCAACAUUUAUUAUUUUUUGAUAGGAAAUUUAGUAUAGGAAAAUAAUUAGUUGUUUUUCUAAAUUAAAAAGUGUUGUUCUGUGUGUUACAUUCAUACCAAUGCAUCUUAGUGUUUCUUGAGUGUAAAAAUAUUUUAAAAUCCGUUGAGUCGAUGACUAGGUCCUUCUCAGAAUUUUCCAGCUUUUUUUUGGAAUUUAUUCUCAUUUUUCUAGAGCUAAAUCCAAUUUUGGAAGGUUAUAAACUCCUUUUAAUGAGCUCCAAAUAUUUUAUUUGGAUUAAUCGUGUCCAACUCUAUCUCUAGGAUUUUUUCUGGAAUUUUUGGAAUUUUCAGAGUAUUUUUUGUGAUUUAAAUAAUUUAUCUAGAAUUUUUUGGAUUUAUCUUUACACGCGGAAUUAUUUCUGAAAAAACCUAUCCUAUCCUUUUGGGCCGAGUCCGUAGGCUCGACCCGCUCCUGCCUAAGCCCAAUUGCCAGCCCAACUAGAGCCCAUCCGAGCCCAGCGCACAACAACAGAGGCGCGGCGCUGCCGCCGCUGCCGCCACCUUCUUGGCGUGCGUGCCAUGGCCGGCCUCGUGCCCUGCGCCUAUUUAAGGUGAGUCCGAGCCCCGCAGCCCUGCCGCCCCACUUGCUCCUCGCCUUCCUUGCGCAGUGAUGUAGUGUCGUCGCCCGCAGAAGCCGCGUGAGCCGAGCAUCGCCGUUGGCAGUCGGCCCGCUCGAUUUCAUCUCCUUCCUCGACCGCUGGAUGUCGCCGACACCACCAUGAGAACCGGGAAGUCGAGCUACACGUCCGCCAUCGCCUACUGUCUGCCAUCUGCCGUCGGAAGAGGUCCGCCGCGUAGAAGCUCUGUCCGGUCGCCAUCUCCACUACUGCAGCCCGGUUCCGGCCGAUUCACCGCACCUGCCGGCCGCCAGAGGAUGCGGACACGAUGAGGAGCUCCACAAGGUCAAGCCGCACAUCCUUUACUGGCCGCCGCCGUCCAAUCAUCGCCGGAGCGCCACCUGCUUGCUUGAAGCCCGUCGCCGCCAUCUUUCAACGCGGCUCCGAUUCCGCCUGUUGUAGCCGUCCUCCACUGUCGGUGAGCACAUCCUCGAGAUCCCCUCGCUCUCCUCGACCGUUUUUCCGCCGCAGCAGAGGCGAUUGUCACCCAAAUCGCCGACGAGCCAAGCGCCUAGGACCACCGGCCACCAUGGCCAAAAGCCUAUGAGCUUUUGCAGAUUAGACCCCGAGAACCCCUAUAAUUUCUUCAAGAUCUUUGUGUCUUGGCAAAUCUGCAGAUAACCCCCUGAAGAGAUUAGAUCCUUUCAAUCGAACCCAAGCCGUGAACUUUUUAGAUCUAACCCUACUCUUUAUCGUAUUCAUGAGGGAUGUUCAAUGUGUCUGAGGAAUCUUCCCUGCUAGUCCCUAAUAUCUACAAUUAACCUUUACCUCGUUUUAGCUCUAUUUAACCUCGUUCUUGUUGCGUUAGAUUCUUAUCAACUUAAACUACAUGUUAGAAGCAAGGUUAAUCAUAUCCUGUGUUUUUGAAAUUUAUUUAAAAUAUUAAUAUGAUUAUUAGUUGUUUAUACACUUGUUUUCUAAUUAAAAUCUAUUUAGAUCUUUACCUCGCUUUCGUAAUUAAAUGUUAACUUGAUUAAUACCUGUUAAACUAGUUUUUAUUAAUAAAAUCUAAUUAAGUGCUACACCACGGUUGUUCAUAAGUAAACUCAAUUUGAUUAAUGCUUAUUCAAUUUGUUUUAUAAAUAAAAGCUACAUAAGUUAUAUCUCGGGUUUUCAUAAUUACAUGUUAAUUUGACUAAUAUGAAUAUAAAUGUUUUUUAAUUAUAUUUGGUUAGUUCAACCUGAAUUAUAAAGUUGUACGCUAAGAUGCUUUUACAUGCUGCUUUUAAAAUCAAAUAUUUAAUUUGUUUAAAACUGUACUUAAAUGUUUAUAAAUAAAAUUGGACUACGCUUUACAUCGUCUUUUCAUAUAUAAAUAUGACUUGAUUAAUUCCAACUAAGGAUAUUUCUCUAAAAUAUCCUUACAUUAUUUUUCUCAACUAAAAUAAAUGCAGCAUAUAGCUCUUGUCUUUUCCUUUGGAAUCAAAGUUUCCCUGAUAGAUGUAUGUUUUCAAUGAUACCAUCAUUCUUAGUGUUUCACGCUCCUUCAUGAUCUUAGAAUCGAGCCCUAUCCUUGAGUACGUUCUUUUAAAACUUUUCUUUGAUUGGUGUAUUGUUCUUAGUUGUACUUGUUUGUUUGCUUUGUAUGCUCGUGCCGAUGAUUGCUUUGAGUAGAAGGAUCGUUGUUCAAAAGAUUUGAAGAUUAAGAGUUUGAAGAUAGCAAGAGCUGAAGAGCAGUAAGAGUAACUUUUCGUUGGAGAAAGGCAAGUGUCCCUAACCACCCUUCUGUCUAUGCUUAUUUAUAAUAUCAUGAUAAUGUUAAUUGGAACAUGGAGAAUCACCCAGGAAAACAGUGUAACUAUAAGGACUAUAUGGAUCUGAUCUUGGCCAAUCAAUUAGAAACUCUAGUUUGUGGUAGCUUUACCUGAAAGGGGCAAGAGGGGGAGACAGUAGUUGGUGUAUAGCCCGGCCCUCAAACUGAUAUGCUCUAUGGUAGCUUCGCAGUUUGAGAGAGGUUUAUGCAUUGCGGUGAUCAUGAAACCUUAGCGAGCUAUCCUUACUAGGGAAUCUUUGUAAAUGCCUCGUAGCGUCCCUAUGCAGUCACACCUCGGUAGUGUGAUGAGUGCCUGAUCAGCACAUCAUAGUUGGGUCUAAAGUUCUUCUAAACUUUUAUGCGACUUGUGGGUAAAGAUAUACAACCUCUGCAGAGUGUAAAACUGAUAUAUCAACCGUGCUCACGGUCAAGAGCGGCCUGGACCCUCACAUGAUUAAUAAAUUUGAAGAUGGAUUUAAAUCAUUAUUCUUGUUAUUUCCAAUGGCGUGUCUGUGUACUCACCCUUGCUUACGCUGCUUAGAAGAGAAAUGUGUGUGAAGUUUUCUGAAGAUGAUGCUGAGUUCUAGGCGUACACAAAUCGAAUGUGAAGUUUGGAGCCUCUGUUUCCAGGAUUAAGCUGUAUAUCUCUAAUAGACUCAUAAGUCAUAAUUUAUAUUCCUUUACGUGAUAUUGUUAUUCACUGAUGAUGUCAAAACUAGAUCCUGACAUAAAUAUAGGUAGCACUUGGUUUUAUUUUAAAAUCGGUGUGACACCGAGCGAUAUGAUAAGGUUUGCCAUGCAUGCUUGGGCUCAUUUUAUUUUAUUUUUCUUGCAAAGUGUGAAACUAAUCAAUCGUAGCACAUCAUUGUAUUAUGCUAUUUGCAAAUACUAAUUAAGUGUGGUACUAAAUUAAACAAACAUGACGGAUCCUCAAGGUAACUUGCAGGAGUUGAGAUGGUGGACAUGUCCAGGAAUGUUCCUUUCAUGUCCUGCCGAAAAAGCCCUGAAAACCGUGGCAACCUAUGCUUUCAUGGGGGGCCGACCACACACAAAAAGCAGGAGAAUGCUACAUGGGGGCAACCUACCACAAAUCUGCAAAGACCAACUCUUCAAACCUCAACCUAAUUAAGAUCUAAAUUAGGUUUUGGGCGGUCAUUAUAGCCAGCCAAGGUUACCUAAAAGAGGUGUUAAAUAGGGAGGUGCAAUUUAUAUUAGAUUACCAGUAGCAUGACUGGUCCAUGCAAAUGCAAGCAACAAUAUAGGAGAUGUAUGUCAGUCCCCCAAACUUAGGAGACAAUCUUUUUUGUUAAAUCAUCGCCGUCAGAUCAGUGAGGAAAACAGACCAGACCAGGGUUGAAAUAAUAAAGGAUACUUGCAAAGGUGGUGAAUGUGGGGUUCAUGUCACAUUGGCUCUGAGAGCGAGAUGUCAUGGCAGCCAGCGCUCCGGAGGCGCCGGCAUACUGUCACUGUGCUUUGAAUAAGCGGAUUGAAACGGCGAGCGAUUGGGGCACGCAUCUCAUCUGAUUAGACAUGACGUCCAAUGGCUUGAAAAGGAGACCUUCGAGGUAUAAUUAUUGGGCUGUAACAUGAACUUGUCCACGACUAUGAGCUUAACAUGAUGAUUAAGGUUUUCAUCUAUAGGCAUAUAGCCAAUAGGAAGGCUACAUGUGUGUUCUUGCAAGCUAUGAUUCUCUGUUAGUAGAGCCCUAGGUUUGUGAUUGUUGUUUGAGAGCCAUGAAAGGUUCCAAAAGGGCAUCUCCAACACUAGUAGUUUGGAGGAAUUUUAAGGAUCCGUGUGGCUCUGGCAUCAACCAGCAAGGAUCGGAUCGGACGGAGCAGUAGUUUAGUGGUUGCACGAGUUAGCUGUAGCAGCUGUGCAAGUGUGCAUAGAUUAAUCAGAUCGCUCUGGCACUUUAGCUUGAUGCUGAUUCACUCACAUGUAGAUAUAAAUGAAAUAGUAUAACUAACAGAUGCAGGCGCAGUGGUGCUUUGUUCUUCAAGGAAGAGAGAGAAUCUAAAGGAAGAGGAUGGAGAAGAAGAUUAACUAGUCUCUUUGCUUUUGCUUUGAUGACCUAAUUCCUCAUGCUCGAGUACUGCUUCAGAAACUGCGGGAAAAGCCAACAGAAAUGCGUGCGUGCAUCUGCUCCACCACGCCUGCGCUUAUCUCCCUGCAGUGACAUGAAUUAACUAUUGGCCAGUGCUAACCACUGCAUUAACAAUGCAGGCUUCAGUUUCUCUGACGAACACUCAGAACUCUUGCGUGAGAAAGAAAAGGUUACGAGAAUUAAUUGCAAGGAAUUAAUGGAUCAAUCGAUCGAUGAUGCGAAAAGGCGACUGUGUACUUGCUUAGAUUGGACGAUGCGAAAUUAACAAGUCAAGAUGAGAAGAAGUGUCGUAAUUAAUAUCGGAGGAAGACAAUGAUCGAUAUGCAACGAAAAAGAAACGGUCGAGGGCGGAUUUGGGAACUGAAAAAUAAAACAGCUGAUCGGUGUUGCUGUCAGGGUCAUAACUGGCUGAUGAAGGAUAGUACAAAGUUGCCGUUCCAGUACAAAUCCGAUCAAUGACGCCUAAAAAUUGUAGAACACAAACUGCUAAUUAAUCUAUUUGUUCCAGGUAUUCGAUACGCAUCAAACCCAAUCAUGAUAAGGACUAGCUUACAGACACAAGUAACUAACCUGAAGACUCUACAAUUUUGUAGCAUAUACUACCUGAAGCUAAGGUUAUGACUUCUGACCAAUCCUUAACGAUGUGCUGACACCACCACCCACACCACAACUCCUUGAUCGGUUCAGAGAUAGAUGUUGAAUGGAUCGCUUCAGUUCCAACCCAUGUAAAGCCAUAUGUCCACAGCUGCAUGCAAUAUAAUCUCCAAACUAGAGUACAAUUCACUUGAGAACACAGCUCCAAUUCUAUAAGGCAGACAUGUUGAAUUGAAUCUACUUUAAUUGUUUUGCUUGCACACCAUUUGAUAGAUUCAAAGCAUCGCGCCCUCAUAUCUCUAACAGAACGGCUAAAGAAACAAAAGACGAUGUCAGUCUGAACAUCGAACUGAACCUACUCCGAAUUCUUUGGAAUGGUAAAUUCCGACAGCAACGUAUACACACCACCAGCUAUGCAGUUGUACGUAUAUAUCUCUAGUCGACUAGUCCUAUAGGCUUAUGUCAUGGCUACCCAAGGAUAACAAUACGAACACCAUAUUAAGACAAGCAAACUGAACCUUAAACAUGCAAUUAAAUGGCCAAAACACCACACCAAACUUGAUCUGCAACACCUACUAUCUGGAAGAAAUUAACCCCCUUUCCCCCUCAAUGCCCUAUUGGCUUCACCCUUAGUGACAGACACUGUGUCCGACAUGUCAGUGACGUGGAUGGGUGCGCAUCUGACGGUGAGAGCAUGCAGAGCCACGCACGCGCGCGCACCCAGCCGGGGGCGCACCGCCACCGCCAUGGUGUCACCUCCCCGUAAAAUAAUGCAGCGGACGCAUCAGGAAGAUCGUGACGCCCAUGAUUAGACGAGUAAGAUUGUUUGUCGAUCAGACGAGGCUGCUGGUGAUGAGCUGCGAUGUCCAUUUGUUUACGCUGUUCACGCACUGAAGAGGAAGAAGAAGCUUUGUUUCGUGAAGAACAGAGAUUGUUGAGGCGUCGAUAUGAUCAGUCUGACGAGGAUUAUUGGAGAGCACGAACAGGAAGAUGCCUGAUGAAACGAAUGAGCAACCUACCCUCCAUGGUUAGGUCAAUGCGCAGCUGUCGAGGGAAACGAAACGCUCUCAAUGUCUCAUUCAGCAACGGAAAACUCAGGAACAGCACGAGCUACUGGUGAUUUUCAGCGACAGGACCUUUUUGUUUUUGACCAGCAAAUGGAUGCUUCAGGAUCAGAGCCUGACUUUGCUGAUGAUAAAAAGGAGUUAUGGAACUGUUGACAUACAGUGUAUGUGACCGUAUCCAGUAGCUUCAUGUAGGCGCCAGUAGUCAGUAGAAUCGCAUUCUCCAUUUGGAGUGUUUUUUGUCAAAGAGAUGCAUGAUACAUCCAAGAAAUCCAGUCCAUGUGCAUGAUUUCAUUCUCCUAGACGGAAAGGAAUAAGAUGGGAACUAUGAUUACUAACGCUUCAGAUGCAGGCUUUUCUCUGUAAAGAAAAAAACAGAGAGAGAUGAAGGGACAUCCCAUGAUACCGGCAUGUCAGUCAGCACAGCACUGCUCCAAAUUUCAGAAAAAAGCAAUGAAAGUUACUACUGGUGCAGAGAUGAAUGAUUUCACAGCUUUGUUUCCCUGACAUUUGUACGCACUGCCAUGGUCAUGUCGAACAACCCUUCAGAACCAAGCAAUGGAAACCAUCAGCAUGUGAGCCGAGUUGCUCAAAAGAUAGCAUAUAAAACGCCAGGAGCUGUUAAACUUGGAGCUGUCAACAUUCAUGGAGCAGGCAAAUGGACGCCUGAUACACGCACAUGCAGUACACACCAUACCGAACAACAGCCCUGAUAAGUUAAACAACAAGGGAGCAGACGCUGAUGAACAGCAACCGCUGUAGGACCUAGCAAUCUACUACAGUUCGAGCAAUGCGUCGUCUGUCAACUAAUCUCGAUUUGGAUCGGUGACGCCAAAAAAGCGCAUUGUUAUAAUCCGGAAAUGACUAGACGCUUUUUGUACGAAACUGGAUUAGGUUUCCAGACAAUGUCGCAAAGAUUAAGGCUUUACAAAUCACAGGUGCAAUAGCAACAAACGGGAGGAGCCAAGUGCGUUUGCGCCAAUGCUAUGACUGUUAUUUGACAAAGCUCUGACAUCAGGUGAGCUGUUAAAUUUGACCGCAUACCCAGAAACAUCACCAGUCCUCUCAUGAAAGCAACCCUGCAGGUAAAGCGUACACAGUCCAAUUGUUGCUGCAUCCAGCAUCCUGUCCAUGUCGACCGUAGCAUAAUUGAUGAAUAUAGAAGCCAUUGUUCAGUCGCAAAACGCUAAAAUCUCCCGGUUUGUUCAUCAGGACCAUGUGUCAGCUGUCUGCUUGUAGCAAAUGUGCUUUCCAUGCUGAACAAGCAUGGAAAACAACAAGGGAAGCUACCCCUGCUUAGAGUAUAGACCCCAGACCUAACACAGCACCUACUUCUUACAUCCGAAUUCCUACUACUGUACCGCAAAUAUAUAUGUCUUGUGUUUCGAAAUGUCCUGUCAUUGCAAUCUGAAUCUGCAUUAUUGGAUCAGUGAUGGACUCACAUAGGUUGCACACGUUGAAAUCCUUGCCCAGAAGGCCAGAACAUGCCAUUUCUUGGAGUCACAGAAUAGGAUGCCAAUCCUUUCUACUCUUCCUUCCAGCCCUAAAAUUAGAGUGGAGGUACAAAUUCUGAUAGCAACCUGAACAUCGAUUAUUAUUUAUUAUAGGUGCUGAUUGAUCGAUCGAGGCACAGAUGCUCUCAACUGCUGAAGAACACAUGCAUGCCCUCGACACACAUCUCUGGAAAAUUCCCAACACCCCACUAGCAUAAAGAACAAAUACUCUUUUACAGAAAGGUUUCCCCUUCUGUUCUCUGAAAAAAAAACCAUCUACUGAUGAAGAACUGAUGCAUGCUCUCGGCACACAUCUCUGAAAAAAUUUCCCAUGACACAACUAGCACAAGAACAAAUACUCUUUUACAGUAAAGUUUCCCUUUGUGUUCCCUGAAAGAAAAACCUUCACAGGAAGGGUUAGAUAUUAACAGUGCGAUACGUCCAAGACAAGAGACGAUCGAGAAGACGUCGUUCCGACAAUGAUGACUGUACACAGGGCACUUUGCAGUUCCCUGACAGCAACUCUAUUGUUUUUUUUAGCCGGGCGACGAGCCCGGUUGAGUGCCCGCCGAGUCUACCGCUAGUCAACGGCCGGGCAGCUGCUCGUUCGCUGCGGCGAUGAGCCGAUGAGCUCUCCUCUCCCCGGCAGGCACCGCCAUGGUGUCACGUCGGCGUAAAAUAAUGCCGAACUGAUUAAAGCGGCGUGGGCUGCAUGAUUAGGGCAAAGCGGGUCAAACACUGUUGCCGGAUGGGUUAGCGUGAGGAGGAGGGAAAGCAUGUACUCACAAUUAAGAUUAGCCUGGCGCUAAUCUGGCCAUUACCGGACGAGGAGCUUAGCUUAAUCGGCCGUGUCUUUCUGUACAUUAGAUUAGAAGAUGGAUGGACAAAAUUCUUUUUUAAGAGGCUUCUUUUGAUUUCGUUGUGCAGUGGUGCGGUGCAUGCAGUUCUUCCGGUGGCGUAUAGCUAGGUUGCACACGGGAUCUGUGUGUCAGUCGUGGACAGUUGUGUGCAUAUGCCUUGCUUGUGGAUUUGGAAAGUGUACUAAGAAAUCAUUGAGGUUCUCAACUCGUUUUUAAACUUUGAGAGGCAGCAAGGGUUGGAGGAAAAUAUCUUUUGUAUAGCUUGAUAUUUGGUAUGGUGUGUGAAGGAUUAGAGUAUUGUAGUUUGGAAACAGUAGGUCCACUGAAUAUAAAAAUUUGGCUCCUAGUUUAUGGAGAGACUCUUUUCAGGUCAAUGCUUGCUACGAUGAAACUCAAACCUUUUAAAAACAGAAGAAUGGGGGCAGUGGCACUUUGGUCUUUGAGUGGCACGUUGGUCUUGGAGAUGGAGUAAGGCCUGCCGUGCCGCACGGGUUCAUAUUGGAGCCAUGCGUAAGUUUACAGGUAAAAAAAGGAUUUUGGGAGAAAAUUCCAAUCCACUUGAAAUUAUUCUGGAUGGAUAGGUGAAAAGAAGGGGAAAAGGAGACUACUGCUAUGGAGAUAUUAGUUCAGAAACAACAUACAGGAGCGAUACCGUUAGUCUGACCACUGUAAGAAGUUGCUCUCAUCAGCCAAUCAGCCUGGUCGUGCAGAAGACCUGCGGAUUAUCUUGUAUGAAGGUGCAGAGGAAACGAACUACUCCAUGUGGUCUGCAUAUAUUCUGUAUUUCUGUAAAAUCAAGUCAUGAGAAAAAAAAGGAUGUCGGUUUAUACCAUGUGAUCUGUAUACUCUGUUUUUUUUAGGACAAUCUGUAUACUCUGUGUGAUCCUUUUUUGAUGGAUGUGGCGGGGACAGGAAGCAGGAGCCCAAGCCCAUCUCCACUUCUGUGCACGGCGACAAGCUCGGCCUUAUUAUAUAGUGGUAGGCCCAUCUACGUUGGGUUGGGCUUCAGUCCACAAGGCAGAUGCGGCCGCCCAGCUGCUGCUGCCGGGCCAAUCCUAUACAGACAGAUAGAGCGCUGCCCAUUAUCUCGCUGCCUGCAGUAUAUAUUUUCAUGCAAGUACAUUGGUGUUGUCUAAUAGACGAUUUCAUGCAUUGAUAUGUAAUCUUAAGAUGAUUUAACAGAUAACAUAUACAAUAGGUUGUCCUUUUAAGUUAUCUAAUAGUAAUUUUAUUUCCUAAGAAAAGAAAUGUCCGGAAAGCUAUAGUAAAAAGGAGGCUACCUAAGAAGGAAUUAACAUUACCUGAAUUUAUCGUAUCUUUUCCUAUCUUAACGACUAUACAUUGUAUCUUCCAUAUAUGUCAAGUUGCAGCCAGUGAGGAAGAAGUCAGCGGAGGGUGGAGAUGGUGAAAUGAUUCAAGGCAACGCGCAUAGAUGAGGCCUCUCCUUCAAUCAUGUUCUUUAAGAGAGAAUCUUUCAAAGAAUGGGACCGAUCUUCACUUCCAAAUACAGCCACAUCAAUGAUAAUUCUCUCUGUUCUGUGGACAUACAAUCUUUUGACUUUCUUGCAACCACGCGGAGUCCUUAAUAAGCUUUGACUUUACUGCCACCACCCCCAAGCAACAAAGAGUAGCACUCGAUGCAGCAGCUGCUGCAGCCUGUGCAGAGAGCAAAUACUAUUGCUUCCCCCUAGACCUAGAGUAUGGAGGCAUCUCCAAUCUCUAACGGUGCGUCUUUUGUGUUCCCCACCAGUGCACGAGGCUCUUCGACAUCCAUAUCUGUCAGUAGCUAUGUUGGCUCUGAGGAAAUUGAUGCACAUACCUGCAAAAACAUCGAUCAAAUAAUCCACUGCAUCCAAGGUGGCAAUCACAGAGCUGCAGCAUGGCAGUGGCACAGGGUGCAUCAUGAGAUUGAUGCCAUGGUGCAGGAGAUCCAAAUGAAGACCAAGACCCACCACACGCUAGCUUGGCCAUACGCGGUUCGCCUUCUUGCCUUUGCAGAUGAGAUCACAAAGCUACAGUUAUCGCCUGACAAGCUCUUUAUUGUGCUGCGUCUGCACAAGGUACUCAGCUCUGACUUCUUCACCAUAUUGCAAUGGCAUCCUGAAGAGUUCAGUAUUGCAAAGUAUAACCACACCAUGCAGAAGCUAAGGCAAGCUGUUUUCCACGUGCUUCAGGAGCUAAAAGUUUUGAUUCAGAAACGUGCUUCCAGGAGCGUGCCAGAAGCCGGAGGCGUCCAUGAAGUGACCUGCUAUGUCAUGAAUUACAUCAGGCUAUUGUUGUAACAUAGGAGCUCAGUCAAUUUUAUCCUUGCUCACAAUGAUAGCGACGACAAGAGCAUGGACUCACUAGACCAUAUUGUGCAAGAUCUUAUUACCUGUUUAGAAGCCAUGCUCAACAGAGUAGCAGAGGCCUAUGAUUUUGAAGCUUUGAAGUGCUUCUUCUUGAUGAACAAUCUCCAAUUCAUUGUCAAACAAGUGGAGGACUUGGGGCUGAGUAAGCUACUGGGGCAAUCAUGGGUUCAAGUGCACAGAGACUUCGUUGACCAGUAUAUGGAGACAUACUUAGACUUGUCAUGGGGACCUAUACUGUCAUGUCUAAGCACAAGGAAGACCAUGCUUGGCUGCUGCUUCCGCCGGUCUUCCAACAUUGUCAGGUUUUGCCUCAAGUUUGACUCAACUUACUAUAACCAGGAGCACUGGAAGGUGGAAGACCCUCUAUUUCGGGAGGUGGUGCAGCAAACGGUCUGCAACAAGGUUGCCUCAGCUUAUCAAGCACACAUCGAGAAAUCCAGGAAGGUUCAGAGACAGUAUGAGUGGUACACUUCUGAGUUGCUGGAGGUGCACUGGAUGUAGCUAUUUGAAGGAAGAACUGGCUAGGAGCAGUUUGACAGGCCACAAGACAUCUUUCCAGCCCCUGAUAUAUUGGAGAAUCUCUGUGUGUUCUCCUCUUUCCAUUUUGGCUCUUAAAUGGUUAUAAUUUGUAUCAUGUAAGAAUUAUUUUAUAAAUGAAGGGGAUAAUAAAAUUUGCAAAUACAAACUUGAAACAAUUUUCACUUUGAUUAUAGAAUUUGGCAUCUAGCUCAUUCUCAUACUAAUAAACACAAUACUGAAUUUGCAACAGCAUGACACUUUGCAGUUUCUUUUAGGUUUUGGCCAUCCUUUUGAGAAAUUGGGAAGCUAAAACUUGGGCACUCCUUGCACAUUAAGCAUCAUGGACAACUAUCACUGAUAUUUGUGCAACAAUUCUGGAAUAGCCUUGAACUCUUUCCUUGCUAUUGCUAUGUAAUUUCAUCCAUCAGCUAUCCUUUUUGGCAAGGAAAUCAGCCGCAUUGAUUAACAAGUAAAAUUUCAACACAUUGUUUUUCACCUCUAGUGAGUGGUCACUGGUCACGAAUUCAGUACAAAAGAAGUGCAGCCAAACCUUACAAAGUCGAAUGCCGCUUCAGAUCGCUGCCUGCAACUCGCUGCGGUAUGAUCACUCCAUCGCUCGGCUGCUGAGGUGUGGGAGGCUAGGUACGCAUAGGACGCCCUCCUCGUCUUCACCGACGGACGCCGUAACGCAUCGCCGACCCACCUCGUCUCCGUUGCUCUUGGGGGCGCGGUUGGUUCAGUGGAUCCGGAGGCGGAGGGCGCAUCGUACGGCUACGAUUCUCUCCCCCAUACAGGCUAACUAAAGUCCCCGGUGGAGCGCCGCUGCCGAAGAGAGCUGGUACAGUGACGAGCCUCGGCAACGAGUGGCCGCCGCCGAAGAGCGCUGGUAUGUGGCUGGAGGCUGGAUGGAAGGUGGGAAAAUUGGCUGCGGACAUCGUUCGAAUGUCGCUUUUGCUCCAGGACACUAAAAAAAUGUUUUUGCCAAAACACACUAACCGUGUGUUUGGUUCUGGGGUUGAAGUGGGUUAGGUUGUAGCCGACCCACUUCGACCCAUGUUUGGUUGGAGAGGGUGGGGGUUGGGUCCAACCCAGUAGAGGAAUAUUCCUCUAGGAUUCGGGUCAAGAUGAUCCCCGAAAUUGAGAGGACCAUCUCGACCCACUUGCACGGCGUCCGUCUCCGUCCGCGGGCGACGCGCGCCUGAUGUCACCGCGGCCGGGCGAGCUCCAUGGGGGAGGAGGACCGCUGGCGGCGGGGAUGAGCCGGCCGGCACGGGGGCGGGGAGGUGGCGCAGGGGGCGGGGAGGUGGCAGCUGGGCGAGCUCGGUGGGGAGGAGCCAGCGCAUGCAGGGGAAGGAGGCGGCGCAGGGAGGCGGGGAGUAGCCGGCGCAAGGAGGCGGGCUCGGUGGCGCAGGGAGGUGGGGAGGAGCCGGCGCAGGGAGAGGGUUAGAAGAGACGAAGAAAAAAAAAAA
rnacentral:lncRNA from 1 species